rnacentral:lncRNA from 1 species
UUUUUUUUUGUUCUCAAAAAAAAAAAUUUUGCGAGUUCAGAUUUUGCGAGCGCUCUCAACUAAGGUUGUUCGAGAAGAAACCCAACCCCUUUGUCUUCGCAACUACUUCCCCGUCAUAUUAAGUGACUCAAAUUUGUCCAAAUAUGAAUGUAUCUAGGUUUAAAAAGCGUCUAGAUACAUUAAUAGAAAGUCAUUUUAUAUGGGUCAGAAGGAGUAAGCGUUAAGCACUAGAUGAGUUGUCGAUGCGUUGUUGCGUGCGCCUAGAUUUUCUUACCGCCCGUUUGAUACCCAUCAUCUAUUCAAGUUUCUAUGCAAGUUUGCUACCUAGCAUUUCGGUAUAAUAUUUUUUGCCGUGAGUAGCAUAACAUUAGCAAGAAAAAUGAGAAAUAGUUGCGAGAAAACACAUUGGGAUGCCAAUAAAAAUGGACAGCCCUUUAUCUCUGACUUGGCUUAGCUUUUCAUCAUGUCGGCGAUUGUUUCUUCGGUAGUUUUUCUUCCGAAAAGAACCAACGACGACCGAUCUAUUAAUAAUCAUCAACAGUAGUACAAAAAAUACUAAGUAAUAAAAACUACAAGUAAGUCAGCACUAGAACGAGAUGAAGGCAGGCAACCAUCCUUGUCUCUCCAUCACUGGAACCAGGCAGAGUUUGCGAAAGGAUUGUUUGUGAUAGUGGAUGGUCAGGUAGUCAUUGUCGUAAGGCCACAAAGAACCAACGCACCCAUAGUUGCAACCAUCGUCAAAGAUGAGAACCGUAAAUCGAAAGAGCAGACCUGAAACCACACGAACAAAUGCGAAAGCCGACCGAAACCCAAGAGAUUCACCGAAAACCUGAAAAGCUAGCCGGAUCACAAGGGAUUUGUCGGAAACACAGGUCAAUCGCCCUCUGCGAGCGCUAGGUGCACCGCCGAAGCAAGGACAGGGCGGGGAGAACCUUUUUCUGGCUGCAAGAUGUUGUUGUCGCCUCACCAUCUUGAAGAAGACUCUAAAAAAUCCUACUCCCUUCGACCGGAAUUACUUGUCACUGAUUUAGUACAACUUCGUACUAAAACUAGGACAAGUAAUUCUGGCCGGAGGGAGCAGAAAAACAGAGCUGUCCUUGUGCCGACGAGGGAUCCGCCGCACCUCCGUGGCCAAUGAAGUCAACGGAGGCCGGACGAACCGGUGCAUGCAGCCGCCGCAUGCCUGUAGAUUGCGUGGGAGAGAGUUGAGACCUAACCAAACCGUUCUUGUUGAUAUACACGAAUCAAUGUUUGUUCGGUAGUUGGUAAUUGCCACGGAUGUUGUUUAACGUGUAGUUUAGUACAUUUUUUGUCAUGAUUAAAAUUUUGGUGUUUAUUUGAGUGGUGACCAAUAUUUUAGUAAGUCGACACGGUCUUAAUUCAUCUUUCUUGUCAAUUCUGGCCAAUUUAUCACUCACAGGUAAACAAAACAUCAUUUUGACACGGCAAUGUGGGACUUAAACCAAACACACGCCGCACUUUCUUGGUCCUAAGCUCCUAAUCUGCGAGACAGUAUCAUUUUAUUUAAGAUCGCGACUUAACAAAACAAUUACUCCUUUCGACUCAUAUUAUUUGUUUCAAAUUUAUCAAAUAUGAAUGUAUUUAUGUUUAAAAAACGUGUAAAUACAUGUAACUUUGCGACAAGUAAUAUGGAUCGAAAUGAGUAAUCAUGCGAUUUUGUGAACAGUGGGAAGCAAAUCAGCGAGCCGGCCAAGUCCCAAGCUAUACACGAAACAGCGAAGUGCCCCGACUUUCACGCGUCUUGGGGUCAAGCUGUUCCAUUCCACGUACAGCUGCGUCUUACCAUUAUUACACCUCGCUGGUGGUACUACCCGACUACACCUGCCGUAACGUUGUUAUUGCAAGACGUGUGGCUGUGCGCCACCCGGUACACGCCAGCCGCGUCCCCGUCGCAUCCCCCCACCAAACGACGGCCCCCCAAACACAGAGCGAGAAGAGGAGCAACGGAAUAGGAGAACACACGACCACGCGUCCAGCUCCCGCUCGCCCCGCGCGCCCAGCUCACACACACACACCUCGGCUUGCUGCCAUCGUCUCCUCCGGUUCCUGCUCCCAUCCUCUUCCUUCUCCACUCCCCCACCAGAUUCGCCUCGUCUCUGUCUGUCUCUCCACGCUCCAGCCUUCCCUCCCACCUCUAUGCAGCGUCCCCUCCCAUGGCGCCAAGCGCACGGCAACGGCAUGCACCCCCGCGAGCCGCGACCUUGACCCUCCUCCUGCCCCUCCUCCUCCUCUCCUCCCCGUCCCUCUCCUUCGCCGCCGCCGACUCCCCGCCGUCGAGCCCCGCCCCGCUCCAGGCGCCGCCGGGGCAGGGCGCGUCUGACUCCGACCCCACUCCCCCGCCGCCUCCGCACAAGCACCACCACCGGCACCGGCGCCACCGUCCGCCCCCGCCCCCGCCGCCCAGGCGGCGGCUAAACUUCGGGGAGAGGCUCGGGAUUGCCUUCGCCGGCGUCGCCGCGGCAAUGCAGGUCGUCCUCGGCGCCUUCCUGGCCCUGCGCGCGUGGCAGCUGCGGCGGCUGGACAGGGCCGAGGUGUCCUCCUCCACGCCCCUCACCUGACCGGCUAGCCUGCCCCGCGUCUUGCUUGUCGCCGUCAGGUCCGUGAUUUGUUAAUUGUUCGUGAUCUCGAGCGUUGUUGUAAAGGAAGCAAUGAUGUCGUAUACUUAUUCUCGAUUAAUUCCAUUCUACACACCAUUUUUUCCCGCAUGUGUUCGCCGAGAUCGAGCACGCCAGCCCUUUGCUGUACGGGUGUACAACUUGCUUCUGUCAGAACAAGUAGACAGGCCAUGUGAUGCGAUAUACUGCCAUGAGAGGUGUAGCGUGUGCUUAUUUGUUGUUAAGCGAUCCAGAUUCAGGAAUGGCGCUAUGUUUCUGGUAAUAGAAAUGGGGUGAAAUCCGUUAUUAAAAAAGUGGUGCUAUGUUGGAUAUAGGCUAACUGCUUAGAUGUGCACGAAUGCACAAAGUAAUUCCAAUUACUGCGUUAGUGCCGCGAUCUUAGCUCUUAAAUUGGUCACCUGUGGUAGUAGCACUCCAUACCAACAAUGUUGCUCCAUGUGGAAUGAUUGAGCCAACUACUAUCACACAACACUUAUGAACAAUGAUAGCUUAGUGAUCAGCAAGCUGAUUGUACCUUUUCUGUCCGUCUCCUGGUCUAAGCAUGAUCACUCGAUCACUGAUGAAAAUUUUAGAGGUUCCAGCUAUCCACGGAUCAUGGAUAGAGAAAACAGCAAGUUUCAGGUGUUAUCGCUUAAUAUUUUUACCAACACUUGGUGACUAAGUGAUGAAAUUGGUGAAAGUCUCUGUUUGCUUUUUGGGACCAAAAGGGUUAUUGUCUUAUGCACUGAGUUUCUUGACAUGUUUUUUUUCUAUGUUGCGCUUUUGGUUGUUGUAUCUAUGCCUUUCAAUUAUGAGAUCAUAUUUACCACAAGUGAAAGCAUGUAUAUGGAACAGUGAUAUCUCUUUGCAUUUUAAUUUUAUCCCUGACUAAAUCCAAGUGAUUCUCCAUCUGUGAAAUGCUUCAAGAAACUGAAUAAUGUUGAGCCAUUCUACCUUGUCAAAUGAUGGACCAUUGCAGCUAUCCAAUAGAACCAUGUUCCAAGUUUUGCACAUUGGUAUGUCAAUUCUUACAAGAGAAAUUGGAAGGCAGCAAACAUGUCUGUGUAGUGUAUGAUUACAUUGUAUAUUGCCUGAAGUACUGUAUGUAUAUAUGCAAUGUCUUACUCGUAAGUCGUAACUCAUUCUAAAUCCAUUCUCAUAUGUGAUAUUUCCUACAUCUCUUGCUUGUUUUGCCUUCGAGGGGGGGAAAACGAGCAUAGAUACCAGGAUCAAAUGAUUUUUGAAUCUGAAAUGGUGCAGGAAUCAUUGGUCACGCAUGUGAGAGCCAGAUGGCUAAUAAUUAUAUACUCCGUAUGUCCUGAUUUGCAUCUUGGACAACUGGGAUGCGACCUUGUCUUAUUGCCCAGAUCCAAACCCUGGAGGACUUGCAAGUAGAAAUGUGUGCCAACUUGAAUGAGCAGCUGUCUGCUGAAGUCCAAGAUGUGGAAUGUUCUUCUUGGUAUUUGUAUCCUGAGUUCCUGACUAGUUUAGAUGUCCUUCUUUAGAUCUAGUGAUUAUUACGGUCUGACGCGUUGGCCUUUACCAUUGCCUUCUUCUAACAGCGUGUCGUGCAUCCCUUUGCUUACCCCUUCGUUCGCUCCCUCCCUGUCGUCGCUCUGCCCCCUUCGCCGGCUGGCCGCCCAUCUCGACCCCCUCCCUCCCCUCCCUAGUCCCCUUACGGCCUUACCGGCCGCUGGCCAUUCAUGUCCUAGGCUUUAAGCUUUGGUUUCGUUUAAUUGGGAGUUAAGCACCUGUAGCUUCUCGGUCUUCAGUUGUCUGUACGAUCACUUGCCAAGAAUGUUUCUGGAAGCUCAAUUUUAUCAAGUACUCUUCCGUUCCAUCAACGUUGGCAUGGCUUUAUGAAAUGGAGUGAGUACUGUAUAAUUCAAUUCUAUUCGUAAUUUUGGGAUUCUCGCUUUACAGUGGUGUCGGCUUCCUGUUAUUGUGAAGACGGACUUCUCUGUCACUGUGCGAUCCACAUUGAGGAGAUUAGAGCGUUGGUGCAGCAGGAUAGAAGGUUUUCCUUGGUGAAAGGGGAUAAAUCGCAACAUCGUGGGAGUCAUCUACUUCUUGUGAAUUUUGCUAGAGUUGGGUGACGCAUGAUUGUCUAACUGGUGCGUGGGAGUCAUCUACUUCUUGUGAAUUUUGCUAGAGUUGGGUGACGCAUGAUUGUCUAACUGGUGCGUGGGAGUCAUCUACUUCUUGUGAAUUUUGCUAGAGUUGGGUGACGCAUGAUUGUCUAACCGGUGCGUGGGAGGCGGUUCUCCGAUAUUGUAUUGUUGUGCUUUCAUAAUACUCCUUUCGAUCCAUAUUAAUUGUCAAAAUAUUAUACUUUCUUUGUUCCUAAAUACUUUGCACUAAAAUCACGACAAGUAUUCAGGAACGGAGAGAGUAUGUAUCUAGACGCUUUUUAGGCAUAGCACAUCCAUAUUUAGACAAAUUUGAGACAGCUAAUAUGUCGUUCCAAAAUAAGUGACUUGAAUUUGUAUAAAUUCUUAUAUAAAUUCAUGUCACUUAUUUUAAGACGGAAAGACCAUAUAAAUCUAUUUUGCCCAAAAAAAGAUGGGAGUACUUGUUUCUCAAUUGCCGGUAGGGAUAGAAAAUCAUGUUUAUGUUGUCUUUUUUUCUUGAGGGAAAGCCCUCUGUUGUCCGAGUUUUAGGGCCUGUUUGGUUGCUACCCCGAAACCAAUAUGCCUGGCCGGGAAUCUACCUUAGAAUUGCCUGUGACUCGUUCGCUUAGCUACCUGAGAAGCUGCCUGAUUCAGGCCACCGAAUUUGAGCGCCCGAGCCUGGCUUUGUUUCUCAGCAAACGUGCCUGAGAUCCUACUGUACCAUUCAUUGAAUUCAAACCAUCUCAAACCAAACAAGAUUUUCAUGCCACCUUCAGGCGUGAGAUUAUGCCAGGCAUGUUGGCCACGACAGCAUCCAAACAGCCCCUUAAGUUCAGUACACUGCAUUGAGCUGUCGAAGUGCUGACCUGGCUCCCCUGUGACGAGCUCCUCCUCUCUCAUUGGCCCCGCCCACCAUCUACGUGGCGAACCAGGUCCACCUAUCACCAAAACGAGAGACCAUUCCCGUACUCUACUGACAAGCCGGACCCGAUACAAGCAGCGCCCACCCGUCAUAGACUGAUCCCGCAUAUACCCCUGAGCCACGAGGUCCGCCUCGCACGCUCCUCCGUACUGAUCCUCGCCCGCGGCCCAUCCCCAACUCCCUCGACGACGGCGAAGAUGGCGAGCGACGGCGCGGUGGCCACGCCGUUGAAGUUCACCCAGAAAAAGGCCAACCUCCUUGAUCCCCACUCCAUCAAGCACCUCCUCGACGAGACCAUCUCCGAGGUACUGCAGUUCACACUAAACCCUAACCCCCUCUCCCGUUCGAGAUCUCUAUUCCUCUCGCUCCCUCUUCUCCUCACUUGGUUCCUCUAGAUUCGGCCAUUGAUGAGGCAGUUCCGUGGUGCGACCAGGUCGUGAAGAGCAAGGGCUACACGGAGGACACACGGCUGGGCAACUGGAAGCUCGCGAUCGGGACGGCCGUGAUCGCCAUCGCGCUUCUCGCGCAGUUCUACCCGAAGAAGUUCCCCCAGAACAGCGAGUUCCUGCUCGGCUGCAUCGCGCUAUAUCCUUUUUCUGUGUUUGUUUCUCCGUUCUGAUGAAUUUUGUUAAGGAGUAGAUCUGAAUUUCUUUCUGGGGAAUUGUCUUGAAUUUGUUGUACGAUGCCGUUGGUCCUUGACUUUCAUGGUGGAUACGUAUGUGGUGAUGAAUGUGGUGCUGCUGAUCCUUAGCUACGCCAAGGAGAAGGAUGCCAUUAUCUUCACCCACCCUCCAGCGGUGAGUUUUAUAUUCAUCUCGAUUUGUUGCUCCUGAAUUUCAAUUAUAGAUCUCGCUGAUUACUCCAGUCCUGGUUUCAGUAUUUCUGAAAAAGAUCGUACUCUCUGUUGAUGUCUCCGAAGUAGUUUUGCCAGAAAAAUAAAUAAGAAAUGUAUAUGCCCCGCAAAAAAUAAUAAUAAGAAAUGUAUAAAUUGCAUGUCCUGUGUGGUCUAUAUUGAACUAUGAAUAGAGAUGUUGCAUUUAAAUCAAAUGUGAACCCCGCUCCACGGUAUAUGUUGCAAUUAAUAUUCAUCUGAUGAAUAUGUUUACCUGUUCUGAAGUUGAACAGUUUUUAAGAAAAUUUUCUAUAUUACAACUUCUGAAGAGACACACCAUUUUUGUUGUAAAUGAGAUCGCUUUUGUUUGAAAUAUGUUAUGCGCAUUACAUUAAAUUAUUCUGCCCCUCCUCUCAGGGAGCAGUUGCUCUGUUGCAACUAUAUCAUUUUCUGUAUCACCUAAUUUUAUGUGAUACACUAUGUUGACCUGUUGAGUAGUUGUGGUUUAUUGUGAUACUGAUACAGGACCCUGAUUAUUUGCCAUGUUGCGUACUUACUAUAUCACUUUUGAUUGAAUGCUUGAGCACUAGUAUCUCAUGUUAAAACUCACAAAUGAGAUGUUGUUUUGUACUUUUGUGCUCGAUAAUAGAAAUUGAAAAUCACAUUGGAACUGUGUAAUUAAACCACUGAGGUGUUUUUGUUUUUACUAUUUUGCUUCUUGACCAUGACCAUAAUGGCAAGUGUGUAUUUCAUAGUGUACUUGUAUUGUUGUUGGUCAAACAAUUUCCUUCUGCGAGUGCCUCGUUUAUUAAGAUGGAUGAGUAGUGAAUCCUUCAGUCCUUGGACAAUAGGUACAUCUUAAACUUAACUAUGCCUAAUGGCCUAGUGGUGAAUGGAUGUUGUUUGUGAUUCAGGCUCAUUUCAGCACAUUUGUUGCCAAGCCUCGUUAACUUGUUUUUUUUCUUUCCUCAGGGUUCUUUCAGUAGCACUGGCCUAGUCAUUUCUUCGAAGUUACCAAGAUUCUCGGACAUGUACAAUCUUACAAUAGCCAGUGCGGAUCCACAGUCUAUCUCUGCUCAUAAGCCUGUACAUUUCACUAAGAGUGUUACAAAAUGGUAUGCUUGCCCUCAGUUCAUUGAGCUAAUCUAAGUCAUCAAAAUUUAUUUUCUUGCUUAAUUCUGAAGCAUGGGAAGGCACUUUCUUUUAGUUAAUAUAGUUCACCAGUUCAAGUUUAGCUAAAUCUGACUGUGAUGUUGGCUAUCCAGUGUGCAAACUGAUGCUUCUACCAUAGUGUUAGGAUUACUUGGUAGUCAUUGCAUUUCUGCUCCAAACAUGCUUGGUUAUACAUUACUCGCUUUGGUCCACACAAAAAUGGAAGUUUUUGUCUUGGACAUAGGUCUAGACGUCAAAACUUUGGCUAAUUAUACCUUUUAAAAUAUUUAGAUUGGAUACCUGAAAAUCAAACAUUUAAAUUUGUCUCAAAAAGUACUUCCAUUACAUCUAAAUUUUAUUCGGUUCUGUAAAUAUUUGUAACAAAAACUAUUGGUUGAAGUUAUGUUUUGGAGAUUGUCCAUGUCGUCAGUUUUUAGUGAACUAGAGGACAUGACCUAGUUUGCAGACAUAGAAACACAUUGCAAGUGACUUGGAAAAAUAUGAAAGCUUCAGUUUGUUAAUAGAACCCUGAGGCUUGCAGAUACUAGAUGAAUGUUGCAUUUGACCCGGCAAAACAUGCAAGCUUGAGCUUGUGUAAGAAUGUAAGAUAGCUUUGUAGGUUAACCUGGCAGCACAGUGUUUGUUUUUGUUGCUGUAUUUGGUCUACUAGGGGGCAUCCUUGUAGCAUAAGUCUCUCAUGUUCUCCGUUACAGUGUUCUUACUAUCUUGGGCAGGUUUACAAAGGAAGGUGUUCUCGUGGAGGGCCUGUUCUGGAAGGAUGUUGAGAAACUGAUUGACGACUACAACAGUGAGCGCAAGAGCAAAUGAAUUAGUAGCCUCUGCGUCUGAUUGUAUGCAGAAAGCUUAGACUAAUCAAAAUAGACAAUGUUUUUGCUACAGUACUGUUUGACUGGAGAAUGAAAUAUCGUUCAAGAUAAUACACCAUUGGAGUUUUUUUUUAGUAUGCAAGUCUAUCCAUCAGUGUUUGAGUAUGCAAGUCUAUCCAUCGGUGUUUAUUUAAUCACUAUCUUAUCAUUUUUAAGCCACCCGAGACUUUAUACUAUAUUUGUUUUGUGAGUUUUUCACCAAACAUCUCGCCUGAUUUCCUUUCUAUGGUUUCCUUAUAAGCAAAGCUAUAGCCUACAGGCAGGCAUUUUUUAAUGGUAUUUCCCCCGAUCAAUGAUAAGUGUCGAGGAUUUAAUACAAAGUUAGUAAUGACCCUGACAUUUUGAAGCUCAUACUCUUUUUUGAAAAUUAUAUUUAGAGGCCAAAAAUUCUGAAAAAAAAACCCUAUACUGCAUAUAUGAAUAAUUCUAGGUAUAUAUAUAGAAGUUGUGAAGAAGUUAGUUAACAUUUGAUCUACACAAAUUUGUGGAUUUAUAAUACUGGCACAUAACAUUCUUUAUACAAAAAGUACAUGUAUAAUUCCUAUAGAACUUUGAUUGGGUAGUGUUAACAUGGUAAUAGUAAUAACUACGGAGUAUUAUGGAGUACAAUAUUAACGCAUGAAGUUACGUAGCCUCCCAUCAUCAGAUUUAGUCAUGUAGCUCUCUUAGUCUUAGACCCUGUUUGAUUGGGCUUCAGCUUCAGCUUUUGAUGUUUUUAGCAAUCUCAAAAGCACUUCUCCUGUUUACACAUGAAGAUGAGAAGCAUCUCCGGACAUGCUUUUGGUGCUUCUAGCAGAGAAGCACCUCUUCUCAGCUUCAUGUGUAAACGGAAAAAGUGCUUUUGAAAUUGCUAGAAGCACCAAAAGCUGAAACAGAAGGCCAAACAAAUAGGGCCUUAGCCUUGAGGGUGACUUUCAGCGCCAUCACGUUAAGUGCAAGGGGCAUCCUCAAACUAUUCCCGUUUGUCCAUUUUUGGGUCUAUGGAGAAAAAUGCAAUAUCUAAUGGAUCCCCACUUGUCCAAAAGUUGUCCAUCUUCCCCAUUUCUUUUCCAAAUUUGGGGAGAGAUUGUCUAAAAUUUGUGCACUUGUUCUUUUGGUUCAUAUGUAAAAAACUCAUGAGAAAGACAAAUAAGGGCUCUCAUUGGACAACAUGAUAUUUUUCCCAUCUUUGUUUGUCCAAACACCCCCAAAUGAAAAAAUGGAGAGGACAAAUGAGAGCUUGUUUCAGCCUAACGUAUCCCAUGUACUCCUCCGAUCCUAAAUUCUUGUCGUUGUUUUAGUGCACUAAAACAGCGACAAGAAUUUAGGAUCGGAGGAAUAGCGUUCUAAACUCUCCAUCAUUAUAUUGUGUAUUUCUUCUCCAUCAUUAUAUUGUGUAUUUCUUCUGGCAGUAUUUCCAAAGAGGGGACUGAACUCUGAAGUGGGCAGUCUUAAGUGCCAAACACAAGCAGCAAGAACAUUAUUCAUUAUGUUCUCCAAAACAAGAAGCGCCGCAGAAUGGUUUAGACAAACUCGAGAAUACUCCUUGGAUGCGCCUACAAAAACAUUCUGCUAAUUUCUGUACAUCAGACGCAAAGCCUCAAAAUACACGAGUGAAGAUUGGUGAGAUAAUUGCAUUUGAAGAACACUCUUGCUUUGGGACCGUAUCAGCAUCACCAUUCUGUUGUAAUUCCAAUCCUAGGAGGCUUAAUACUGAUCCGACUGGGUUACAAUAGCCUCAAUCCGGUCUAUGGAUGCUUGCAAUCGCCCAUAGUUCAUACUGAAGGCAGGUUCUCCUGUGCCAACAGCCCUGCAUGGUACAAAGAUAAAAAGAAGAUGGAUUGUAGAGUUUGUGAGUUCAAAUCAUCCCUGGUUGGCAGGUUUUCGAUAAAUAGUAGGAUCCUGCCUAUAAUAAUGUCAACUCAAAAGAAUUUGAAGUGUUGACUCAAGACAUACCCAUGAAUCUCAGGAAGCACAUAUUCAGCUUUCCAUCCAACCCUCAAAUCAAACCCUGGAAACAAGUUGAGUUUUGACUUGUUUCUGAUCUGAGAGAUACCAUCUCCCCCCAAGCAAGUAGAAAGCUUCCAUUUCCAUCCAGUCGCCUUCAGUUGGAAAUUGUGACCAAUGCCAACCUGGAUUGCCACCAUUGUUAGAAAUCUCAUGUACUACUGGUGUUACAGAAGGAACUUGUUCAAUCAAAGUGAACUCUGAUAAAGAGAGUCCUGUCUCUAAACAUUUAGCUUUUCGUGGUUUAAUUUGAGCAUGUUCAUCAUAUGUUGUGGGGCCAACAAAUCCGCUCUAUUGUACUUAGUGUGCUUCCUGCAUAUAUUUGUUGGAUGUAGAUGGGUACUACAUUUCUUUUGCAAACAAGUAAAAAGAGCCAUUAUAGUUUUUCAGGCUAGGACAAAUGGUCUACACUCUACUCCUGUAAUUUAUAUGUGAAGAAAAGCAACAUAUAACUCUUUUCUGUGCCAAUUUCUAAGGAUAAACUGCUGUUGCUGAAGCGUGUAGGAAUUAUUUAUCAUCAAAGCAUAUUAUUAGGACCCAGAAAUACUGUCAUUUUAGAAGCCCAGAAUUUGACAUGUGAUAAUGGCUAAACUGCUAAACAUCUUACCUAGUACGAACUAUAGUGUAUAGCGGGGAAACUCCAUCCUUAAAUAUUCAACCUGCCCCUGGACAUCUCUAGACCACAAAAAAAGAAGAAGUGCAUCUACUUUGUUAUUUAGGUAUUCAACAUAAACUAAGAAAUCGAAACGUGUUCUUCUAGCUUUUGUAAUGAAGUUGAUGCAUAUGAAGGAGCAAUUUCUGAAGAACAUUAGGAUCAGAGAUAACAAAUAUACAGAAGGCAGGUUCUAAGAAAACAAGUGUUAAUUGUGUUGUAACAAUGUGUCUUCAAUUUCCACUAUCAGAACCAUGGCACACACUACAUAAAGAUAAGUUUUUUCAGCACUCUGGAACUGAUGUCUGAAGUCUGAACUCUGCAAUCCAAGAGAGCAGACUUAUUCUUGAGACGCAAGCGAGCAGAUAUAUAGUGCACAAACUGGCACCUUCUUCACAAGAAAAUAUAUAUUUACAAACUGUAAUAUAAUGAAGGACCAAACUAUGACUCUUAGCUACAUGAACAAUUUAACAUCUCUAGAUGUUCCAUCAAAUGCCAUAUCACAAGGAGUGUCUAUAUCUAUAUUCUAUAUAUAUACUGAUAAAGUUUCGAGUAAGCAGUGAGUUCACUCCCCUCCACUUGAAUUGACACGUGGGAUCAUAACUCAAAACCUUAGUUCCUGAAAUGUGCCGUAACAUGGAGCAAAUGGUUUAACUUAUUAUAAUCCCACGCAACUAAAUUCAUACCGGGAAUUCAAACAAUCCUCAUCCUCUUGCCGCCUUUCUUCCCAUGCAACUAUUAUCUCAUUAUGAGAUGUGCAAUUGUUUGUUGCACAUAAUUGAUUAUCAAUAAAAAACAGAUGCACAUGUUUGGCAAAUUAUACCCUUGAUCUUCUUUUUUGUUCUCUAACAAGGCAUGCUAGUGUCAAUGAAUAAUGCGAACUGGGUGUUACUAGUUCCAUAACAAAAUUGUGCUAAAUAUGAAAGCAGUUCUUGCAGCACAAACAAUGCACAAAACAAGAUUCAGUAAAGAAAGUAACCUGAAGGUUGAGAUACUUUGUAACUGGUAUCUUCUUGGAGAGCAGCUGUACGUCACCACUGAUGGGCUUGUAUUGGAACUUCCACUUCCGGUCGAAAUCUAGAGGUUUCAGAACUACUUUCGCCUCGAAAUCAUUCACUUCAAGAUUGUAGAACUGGAAAGAACGCAUAACGUUUAGACACUCAGAUCAUGUCUGAACCGGUUUCACCAGAGCACAGAGUAACAGUGAUCACCAUUGCAACAUAACCCUAUAUCUCCACAUUGGCAAGAUUAUGAGCGAGUUCAUACUGUCCCAGUGUGCACAAGGGGCAGCAACAUCAGCAAGAGUAAACUAUUUCCAAUACACGGACAUUGCCAAAGUUUAGCCUUUCGAAAUCUCGCGAAAUACAUUGGACUGUUGGAGACGGGGAGGGAGGGGAUAUAAAAGCAGCCCCAACACUGAGGUUUAGGGUUUAGGAGGAGUAGGGGAGUGUACCGACCUCGAGGUUGAGGCCGACGCGGAGACCCCGGAGCUCCUUACGGAACUUGAAGUGCAGCUCGGCCGGCACGACGUUGAUUUGGUACAGCUCGUCCAGUGUCGUCGGCCCCUCCCCGACGCCCCCGUCCGCCCCUCCGCCGCCGACGCCCGAGCUCGACGCCAUCGAGCGUCACGCGAGAGAGGAAAAGGCGCUCUGAUUUCUUCGGCGUGGAUUUUGGGCGGCGGGUUGCGACGGGGCGGCGAGGUCGAAGAACCGAUCGGCCGGCCCGCCCGGCCGCGUAAUCUACUAACUGGUGCUUUUGCACAUUGCCCCUUGCUUUUGUAUGCAGUCGCAGACAUGGACGUUUCCCUCUUGGGAUUUUUUAGUGGGCACUGUCACUGACUCACUGAAAUUUACUUAAAUUUUACAUGUAUUUAGACGCUUUUUAGAAAUAAAUACAUCCAAUUUUAGUCAAAUUUGAGACAAGAAUUAUGAGACCAAGAGAGAGUAUAAAAUAUAAUAUUCUGGAGAAAAAUACUCGUUUCCAAAUUUUUUUGGGGUAUUCCCUCCGACACUUAUCAUGGAUCAGAGGGAAUACAAAAAUAUAAUAUUCUGGAGAAAAUACUCGUUUCCAUAGUCAUGGUCAUGUACACAUAGUCACGAGUAUGUUGAUGAUAAAAAUAUCUAUUGGAGAGUAGGAUAACACAAGAUAUAAACAAUCAUGUCUCCACGUAGGUUUCAAAAUGAAUCUCAAAACAUGUACCGAAAAGCAGUUUUGUUAUGUCAACAUGAAUAAGUAAUUUUGAACCUAGCACGCUUUCGUUGCUUUUAGCCACUGACUUCUAAUCUCCCAUUUUUGCGAUAUUUUAUCGAAUGAUGAAAACCUCAUACAGAAAAAGUGGCAUGAAUAACCAUCACCAAUAAUAGCAAAACUAGGUUAGUCAAAAUGGCUACUUCCUCACAUAUAUUGUAUGAUCUCCAAUUUUCAGAAAGCUUAUUUAUUAGGAUAUAAUAAAAUAAAUAUAUUAUAUAGUUACUUUUGAUACAAUCUAUGCAUUUGAGUUCGGCAUAUUCGAUCAAGCAAAAUGCAUGUGCUAAUUUACUCCAUACUAAAAAAAAUGCUUAACGAAAUGUUGUACUACAAGUGUAUUAUCUUAGAACAUAUAAUUCGUAUUCGUUUUUGUCUCUGUGAUUUAUGCCAAAUCAACAAGUGAUGAAAAUAAUAUUCAAAAACAAGUGAUACACACAAUCCCAAGUGACAUAUAUAGUCACAAGGUGACAGACGAUUCUUACUAACUGAGUCUUCCAUAGGAAUAAAGAUACUAGAAAUCUGUGUUAUAGAAAGCUUAAGAAAUGACCUAACAUCUCCACAAACUUAUUACUUAGCAUUAUUUCCAUGAAAAUAUUUUCCACACAUAUAUAAACAAAUUAUCCUUAUUUUGAUUUCAUAAAUCUAUAUACAUCUUGUUUGUGUUAUGGUUGGGUAUAUUUUGUUUUUACAUUGUUCGAAGCGAUGGAGAUGCAAGUGGAGUCCCGUUUACCAUGCUUAAUUAACUUGCUAGUUAAAAAAUAAUUGCAGGUUGGUCCCAGUGAGAAAUACACGGGACCUCGCUUGCAUCUUAAUGAUGAAAUGUGACAAUAAACUACUCCCUCCGUCCCAAAAUAACUGAUUUGGAUUUAUAUAAAUUUUUAUACAAAAAACUACUCCCUCCGUCCCAAAAUAACUGACUUGAAUUUAUAUAAAUUUUUAUACAAAUCCACGUCACUUAUUUUGGACGGAGGGAGUAUCAAAUAUACUGCCAUAUUGGAUUUAAUAUUUUUAGUAUUGCACGUUGUUAAAAAACAGUAAUUUAUACAGAUAUCUGAAUAAAAAAACAGCAUUUUUUGUUCCAAAUUCAUACUGAAUUUAAUUAGAAAUUUCCUGUUUGACCAGGUACUGUACUUCAGGAACCCCCAAACCCGCUCUUCUCCCUCCCACCCGCACCAGUAUGCAGCCUGCGCCGCCUCCUCCCAUCGCCGUCAGUCCAUGACCGCCGCGGCGCCUCUUCCACCCCUUCCUCCCAGAUUUCCCUUCGCCGCCGCUUCCUCCGAUGCUUCCACACCAACACCUACACAUCCGGCUCCGCCUGCCCCCUUGCCACCCCCUCCUCUGCCUCCUCCACUCCUACAGCCCCAAUGACCGCCCGCCGCCGCAGCACCAGCCCUCACACGACGCUGAGCUCUGGAUCGCGAAGGCACUCGCGUCUGCGGCCUUCCUCCGGCCGCACCACCUCUUGGCAUUCCGCCGCCUUGCACCCUCCCCGGUUGCCGCCGCCGCCGCGCUCCGCCACGCCCCGUGCGCCUCGUCCACGCUCCAACUGUUCUCCGCCCUGCAUUCCUCCCAGCUCGCCAUUCCCCCGUCCGCGCACUCCUACCGUUACGUUAUCUCUAUGCUGUGCCAGUCCAGCCGCCACACUGACGCCCUCAAACUGUUCGACCAAAUGACGGACCAGUCUGGUCACUUCCCCAAUGCUCGUUUUCUCUCCUUCUUAGCCGGAUCCUGUGCCAAUGCUGGCUUUCUUGAUGCCGCUGCAGCAUUGCUCUCAAAGGCACCCCAGUUUGGUUGCUGCGUUGAAGCGUAUGCAUAUAACAAGCUCAUGAACUCCUUCAUUGGCUGUGGCCGGGUGCAGGACGCUGUGGCGUUAUUUGAGGGGUGGAUCCAGGGGGGAGCGUAUUCUCCGGAUGUGUGGAGCUUCAAUGUUGCCAUCAAAGGUGUGUGCCAGGUGGGGGAUGUCCAAAAGGCGCUCGAGUUGGUCGAAAGGAUGGCGGAGUUUGGUUGCUCGCCAGACACCGUCACAAAUAACAUUCUCGUGGGGGGGCUAUGCAGGGUAAAGGAGGUGAGUAGGGGCCGUGAGGUAUUGAGAAGGCUUCAGAGGGAUGGUGUUUGCAUGCCCAAUGUAGUGACGUACACCUCUGUGAUCUCAGGUUACUGUAAGUCUGGCAGGAUGGAGGAUGCGAUGGCAGUAUACAAUGACAUGAUUGGGUGCGGGACAACACCAAAUGCGGUCACAUAUAACGUGCUUAUCAAUGGAUAUGGCAAGGCUGGUAAUAUGGGGUCUGCGGUGGCAGUGUAUCAGCAAAUGAUACUUCGUCGCUGCCCUCCAGAUGUUGUGACAUUUAGUACGUUGAUUGAUGGGUAUUGUCGGUGUGGGCAACUGGAUGAUGCAAUGAGGACUUGGACUGAGAUGUCUCAGUAUCAGAUUCAACCAAAUGCGCACACGUUCUCAAUCAUAAUACUCUCAUUUUGUAAGCAGAACAGAUCAGCAGAAGCACUGCGUUUUUUGAAAGAAUUGAACAUGAGAACAGACAUUGCACCAAGAGCAUUCAUAUGUAACCCCGUGAUUGAUGUACUGUGCAAGGGUGGAAAGGUGGAUGAGGCAAACUUGAUCCUAAUGGAGAUGGAAGGGAAAGGGUGUCGUCCCGACAAGUAUACAUAUACUAUUUUGAUAAUUGGGCACUGCAUGAAGGGUAGGAUAUCGGAAGCCAUCACAUUUUUCAAUAAAAUGGUAGAUACCGGGUGUUCCCCUGACAGUAUUACAGUUAAUUCUUUUAUUGGUUGCCUUUUAAAGGCUGGGAUGCCUAGUGAGGUGGACCGCAUAAUGAAAAUUGCAUCAGGGAGUACUUCCUCUAGUCAGGAAGUUCCUUCUCCUGUGAGUCAAAGCAUAGACAUUUCAGUAGCUGUAUAGUUGAAUGAUACAAUGGUGAACGUAGGGAAGAGCAUCUUAACUGUUUCCGGCACGUAUCGCGUGGCAUCUGACACUUGUCCAAAUAAGAAGAACAAGCUCCGGUGAGUUGAUGUUGCUGUUUUUUUAAUCAAAGGCCUUUCACAUCAUCUAUACUAAACAUUUGGUUCAUCUGAACCAUUUCCAUACAGAGUCGUAAUAACUUUAUAGUUAUCAUCUUGGCUGUUCAAAACGUGUUAAAUUCAAUAGGUUGUGUAGCCUGAUUAAUGUCCUCUCUACAUUUUAGUUAAUCAUAGAUAUAAUAGCAGGGGUAACCGGAGACGGUGACUGGGAUUUGAUAGUUUGUUCUAGUCUGUACAAACUGUGGACAGGAUUUCACUGCACGUGCGCUCAUCUGAUUCUAUCGAAAUUAGAGGCCUGGCUGGCAAGUUCCUGAUUUUACUUGCAUGUCUAGUCAUGUGAACUCCACAUGAGUUGUAUUCAAUUAAAUCAUAGUCAAAGAUUGGAAGGCAUUAUACUCAUUUUUUUUUACAUUAGUUGCCUUGCAGGAGGUUCAGUUAUGAGGAACUCAAAUGUAACUGGAGAUCUUGAUUUCACCAAGGCUAUAGAACUAUUGAGAAACUAAUCCAAAGCAACUUUGUGCUAAGAAAGAAAAGGGACAAGCAGUUUGGUGCUCCAUGUAUUCACUGAAGUAAUUUGGUGAUAUCCACAGCAAGAAGGAAGUGGCAGCGCGGCAAAUUACACAGGGCUGCUGAUUUGCUGAAGUGUGCUUCAGAAAUUGCAUCAAUGGAUGCUUGACACACACUAAACACCUCAUGUAUGAUUGAUCAACUCCCUGGGUUUCAAAGCGCAAGGUCCUCCUAUCACAUUGGAGGAGCUAUUACCUCAAUGAGGGAAAAUUAGCAGUUGAAGACUCAAUGUAUGAAGUACGCGAUGAAAGUAUAUUUACCCUCUAGCAGAGGUACUUCACUUGUAUUGUUCCCUUUUGUUCAUUGUUCAUUCUGGUACAGAAGAUAUUUUAGGAAAGUGUAGUUGAUCAUUUUGACUAUCAUGCACAGUAUGUGCAUUUUCCGUACAAUCAUGUCUACACAAACCUGAGAAUACAGUUUUGGCAAUUACAUUUACUUUGUGUCUCUUAUUGUCUUGUUUCCAUACUUCUCAGCAUUGCCAUAUGACAUGUGGAGGUGUUUAGCAGCUUGGCUUAGAAGUCUCAUAAAAUGAGCUGUCAGAAAGCUAACAAGGGCUAACUUUUUGUAAUGAAAACAUUGUAUUAGGUUCUCUCCUACACCUUAUGUUGUAGAUGCAGGUACUGUAGCGAGUAGUGACAACCAUUGCAUUUCAUUGCAUGGGAGGAGGGAGAGAACAUGGACUUACAAAUUAAGAUCAUGGUAGCUCGAUAAAGCAUAAGCCGUUCCAUCGAACCCAAGUUCAAUGGGUAAAUUCUUCGUUAUUUCAGCUCUAAAUUGAUUUUUUCCCUCCAUUUACUUUAUUUUAUUUUCUUUGUUAUUUCAGUGAAUAUAAGUUCAUAAAGCUGUACUGGAAUGUUGUCUGCGCCUGUAUACUUUGUGCUCCUAUUGCUCUGUUGUGUGUAUCUCUGUUUGUCAAAGAUAAUUGAGCAUCAGCACAUGUCAUGUUCAUACAAUAAGAUCUUGGCACUGCUACAUCAUCAAUUAACCCCUCUUUAACCUCUAAAUCUUUAAGACCAUCUAAAUCUGAUAUACACUGUAGCUGAUACAGUGGGAUGGUCUCAGUGGACAUGCAUUGAUCUGAUCUCCACUUCCAGACAAAGUAGGUGAAUGUAAACCCACUGUCAGUGAACUAAUUUACUCAUCCAUGUUAUAAGCAUCUGGUAGAUUCCCCAUGGAUGUUGUCAAGAACUGCCAUCACCCCAAUGAUAAAAGCCUGGUCACAACCUGACUGCACAGUCACAUGGUAGAAGUCAUUACUCCCUAUCAGCUGUUUCUUUGCCAUCUACAGAAUGGAUAAUACAUGUGUUAGAUCUUAAUUUUCUCAGGAUGCAGAAAUGCUUGUGAGUUGUGGCAUGCAUGGAGAUGCUUAUAGACUUCGCUAGACACACUUGCACAAAGAUGUUGAGUAGCAAUCAAACAAGAUCACUGAAAUAAUUAAAGAACAUUCCUUAACCAACAUCUUACUUUAGAGUAGCCUCUUUUUUCUAUCAUAUUGUGUUGUCAUUCUUGUUAAUUAUGACUCAUGAGACAUCUGUAGUUCAUAACUGACUUGGGCACAUGAGAGAAAGAUAGUUGUUUAGUAUUCCACAUAUUCAAACAUGCCACUACAAAGAAAUCCCAGUUCAAAAUAUACCAGUCAAAUUUUGCACCUGUUCCUAUAUGCCACUACUGUUCGUCGACCAUGUAAGAGAUUCAAAAUAUUGUCAGUUUUUGUAAUUAUUGACCAAAAUACCUUGUUAGAAAAAAAAUCCCUACUUUAUCUCCAUGGCCAACAGGUUCUACUACAAAAAGUUGUACAAAUGUUCUCUCUAACAUAUGCAGAAACAUGUAUGCAUAGAAAUCUGAUGCACUAUAAAGUGGCGUAUAUGAAAAUCAGUACAAAGGGAAAAUCGGCUUUCAGGCAGCCACUUGAUGGUCAACUUGCUAGUAUCAUAUUUGGAACCGGUGCAGUUUUGAGUGAUAUUUUCGUAUAUGGAACCGAGAUUCUUAGUGGCAUAUUUCAGACUGACCAAAUUUUCAGGGAUAUAUAUGAAAUUUUGUCCUAUAUGGAAACAAGGGAUUCUCCAAAAGAAAUAUGAUUUCCACAAAAAGAAGAUGAAACUUUUGCUUGCAGGGGAUUAUGAAGGUAUGUUUUGCAUAUCUGUGCCACUAUUUGCCAGUGCAAUCAAUUACUGUGCGUCUCUAUCUGCAAAAGAUGUGUAUGGGUUUGUGGUAUGCAUGGAAAUGCUUUUGCACUUAACUAGACUUGCAUACACAUGGAGAAUGGCAAGCAAGCAAAAUCACUGCAAAUAAUUGAACAGCACCCCUUAACCAACAUAGUCUCUACCCCUUCUUUCUGUUGUCAUGGAAUAGUUCUGUUAAUUAGGAUUCACGAUGCACCUAUAGUUCACAACUGACUAGCGCACAUGACAGAAAGAUACGUACUCGUUUAGUACUCCCUCCGAUCCUAAAUUAUUGUCGUUGUUUUAGUACAAAUUUGAACUAAAACAAUGACAAGAAUUUAGGAUUGGAGGGAGUAAUUGACUGACAACACAACGGAACUGUAGGAAAGAAAUAUAAUUUACAGAAAGUUUUGCUUGCAGGGGAUUAUGAAGGUAUGGGUGGCAUACCUGAGCCACUAUUUUGCCAGUGCAAUCAAUUAUUGUGCAGUCUCUAUCUCCAAAAGACCCACUGAUCUCAAAGUCCCAAUUUUUGCAGUGCCUCUUUGGUUCAAUGUGAAUUCUAAUUGGUGCACCUUUUGCUAUGCAUGAUUUUGGAUCAGUUAGGCUAAAGACCAACUUGUUUUUCCCUUGGUAAUCCAUUGAGUACCCAUUCCAUUUGUUCCGGGUGCUCAGUGCUUGGACAAUGCCUCCCUGCAAUGGAGACUAGGGAGUUUUAGUACGGUGAUUGCCAAACAAAUAUAGGAUUGGAUAUGAGGGAAAUUCUUUGUGUUGUCUUCUGGUGCAUUGACACGUGUCUUCACUCUCUCAGGAAUUCUAUGUUUAAAUUUACUUGCACCCAUGUUUAAUGUUUAACUUUACUUUAACAGCUAGCUUGAAUCCAAAGGAAAUGAGUUUAGAUUCUUCACAAAUUAAGGAGCUAUACUGGGCACAGAAAAAUGUGGAAUUACAGAAACCAGAACAUUGGGAGCAGAAUAACUUAAUUGAACGAAUAGUUCUAGCCUGAUCAAGUAACUUUCAAUUCAGGUGAAGGACUCAAACAAGUGGUAGUAGAGGAAACAAACCUAUCUAAGAGUUACUGUUCUGCAGUUAUGGUCAAUUACCUUCCUAGAAAUGAAUAAUAUUUGUUCUCCUUCACCAUCUUUCACCAUGAGCUCUCCCUUAGAUCCAAGUAUUCCACAACCAUCCACAAUGAAAACAACAUUAUGAUUGAAGUCAGUAACAACAAAACCACCGCCAUUCACUACCAUGGGUCUCCUCCUGAUCAUCAGCGCUGUUGGAGUGCUCGAGCAAAACAUCUUGCUAACUACAGGCAUGCUGUUGUCCAUUUCACUUGAUACUGCUCACAAAGUAAAGAGAGAUGGCCCUAUUACUCAGUGUGAGCUCCUGUUUCACUGUCUAUCUUGCCUCUAACAUGUUCUGUGGCCUGCAGGCGAGUAUAUAUUGGGGGAGGGACGGUUGUUUGAAAAAGAUGGUCACCUAAGCUAAGAAGCAAGGGGGAGCACUCAGUACUCAGUAGGUGUGGCGGUCAAGAGUUUCUCUGAUAAAAGUCACAGCAAGCUCUCCCACAUAAAGUGCUUCCUGAAAACCUGUUCCCGUUGAAUAGACUUUGUCUAACUUUCCUAAAGCAUCAUAAUUGGUGACAGUUCUCAGAAGUUUCUUCUUGCUCAAACAAUGUCCCUUCAUAUGUUUUUUCUCUCUUGAGUGAUUCUCAUGUACACUCUAAGGCAAAUCAUUUCGGACCACAUCACUUCUUUUGUUUCUUUUCAGCCCGAACUGCUGUAUGUUUACUGCCGGAACUUUGUACAGAUCUAGGAGCCAGCAUAAGGUUUUCCAAUUAUCUUUCCUGAAAGCAUGUGAAAUUGUGAACUGAGUAGUGAACUAGUGACUAUGAGUGUGAGGACUGAGGACCAUACAAUGCAGCGCCUGGGCGAAUUAAUGUUUUGGCUAGAGACAUUAUUACAUUUGUUAGUGCUUCUUCUUGCAAAUAUGCUUUCUUCUGGACAAAGUUAGCCUUGCAUUAGCCAAAUACAUGGAAAAGUACAUCUGGCCUCUGGGUACAAUGGUACAUGCACUCUGUGGUUACUAGCGGCAAUUUUUGCAAGUGACCAAUUAUUGUGCUUCUAUUUUUCCCCACUAGCUUUAUCCAUAGCAAUUGAUUGAAUCUGAUAGCAUUAUCUUGUGAAUAUGUUUUGUUCACAAAAAUUUAACAAUCUGUCAGGAAUUUUUGCCAUCUGUGGACUGGAGAAGCACUCCAUUCACGAUGAGAAGAAGCCAACAUGUGGAUUCAUUUGCAUGCAGAAAUGUGUCGGACGGUCAGCACAAAGAGAAGUUUGGAUGAAGGGUGAUUAGAAGCCACCAGCUCUUUUGUGCCAGGCAAUACAAAAUUGGCAGAAGUAUGGCUGAUCAAGUUAAUAGCCUAUACAAGGAAAACUGCCACAUGAUGGAUGAGAAGGAUGGCGCAAAGAAGGUGGAAGGUUUCCAUCUUUUAGUGUCAUAUUGUUGAUGCCCAUCUUUCCUCUUAUAUUAUUGUUAACUUUAGGAGAGUUCAUCUCUUUCUAGUAUUUGUUCCCUGGGCGCAAUUGUUAGAAGUGCAUGGAAAUCUUUCUUAUAUUUUGCCUGAGCUGAGUUUAUAUUUCUAUCUUUUCAUUUGUCGUCGCAUGGAAAAAAUCUUUUCAUUUGUCAUUGGUUUUCCAUAUGUUGAGAUUUUUAUUUAAUUUAUUUGUCUGCUGUUUGCGUUAUGCCGUUUUGUUGUUGUUGACAUCUUCUCACUUUCUGUGAAGGUCCCUUUCAUGUAAUCAAUCAUUCACGCUGGCUGGAACUAAAUCUCAGUAUCCUUCUUUUCUGUAAAAUGCAAGAAAAGGUGAUGAUGCCCUAUUCUUGAUGCGUAUCUAAUUUGAGAUGAAAAGGACUACCCACACUUCAUUUGCUGGUAUUUUCUGGUGACCGGCCUAUGAAUGUUUUGUGCAAUCAAAAGUUUCUUUUGUUCUCUCCGCUCCUAUCCCAGACCUUCAAUGGUGAAGCGGUCUUGCAUAACAGGAACCAUUAGUUGCUGAAUCUUCUCCUUCGCACCUCGACCAUUGGUGAAGCCUAAGGUAAAGCUGUCGUGUUCUUAUGUUAGAACUAGAGAUUCUGCAAAGCUUCGGUAUGAAGUGCCUAACCUAAAGGUUCUGUUGCCUAACUCUACCACCUUUUGUGGCCAGGAAAGGCCAUGAAACGUUGUCAACCAUUUCUGGCAAGUAACGCUGCAGCUAGUUAAGGGCGGUGCGCUAACAUCUCAAGGCACCCCAAGAAGAAUGGUUGAUGAACGCUACCGACUGUGCCUUUAGAACUAAGCAACCACCUGCCACAGGAAACUUGAAGAAGCUUCUCGUCCUUCACCCGUCUGAUGUAUCUCAAGUAAGAAUGCUAGCCUGAUAUGGUUAUUCUUGAGAGAUAAAAAAUACCACAAUCACUGGACUCUUCAAGAUGCUACUCCAGAGUCAGAUUCAAAUGAUACUUACAUUCAGCUGAUACACUGAACUUUCUUCUCUUCAACUGUAAAGUCUUUUCGAAAGUGGUUCUCGAAUAAGAGACCGCGUGAAUUCUCUCUCACAGUGCUGAAUGAUGCGCGUGCGUAAUCCUUUGUUUCAAGAUUUUUGGGAGAUUAGCACUUGAAUCCCUUGUCCAUCUAUGCCUUGUAAUCUGAAAUCAGGAUUUUGGAGAGAAUGAGCGAGUAUAAUAAAACGAGGGGAAUAACAUUAAAAAUCGUGGAUUAGCCAGGGACUGGAUCCCGAUUCCGUUGAUCGAUGAGUGUGACUCCUUGGGCCUGAUUGAUGGUCUGAAGGCGGCACGUUAGCUCCUGUAUCGGUCACACUUUGCAGGAUAUACGGUCGCUACUGGCAUAUGGUGUUAGUAUGGGCGGAGAUAGGGCCGGUGCUACCUGUGCUGUAGCACCGGCCUAGCAAGCGUGGUUAGAAGGAGAUGCUGUCCAUUAUCUAGCUUAUAAAUUGAAAAAUCUACAAGUAUAACAAGUAUAGCACCAUUAGACCCAUCUUAGCACCUUAUCCGUUUUCUGGGUCCGCCACUAGUAUCGUGCAAUCGUGUUGCUCACGAGCUUGCCCAAAUGACCAAAAGGGAUAUGUAUUGGCGAAUGUUCUUAGGAGCUCCUGGCACGAGAUCGUAAUUCUUUCGCUUUCUAUCAAAUUGGAAAAGAAAAACGCAGAACGUGAGUCCCCCGUGCCCAGCCCGCGCCGCGCGCACACGCUGCUGCAGGCUCCCCUGCCCAGCUUCCCUGCGCAGGCCGCCGGCCCGAAAACAACCACUUUGGGCUUUUCCUUUGGAGUUUCUGACGCCACCCACGCGUCGCCUCCAAAUGGAAGAGCCCUGGACAGUUUGACGGGCUCCCAUCGAGCUGCACGAUCUCGUCAAAUCCUUCACCUUAUCAACACAUUGCUGCUCACCGUCGUGAGCCUUCCAUCCAUGGCAAUUGGCAGGACAGUGCAGCGUCGCCAAGCACCCGACAAAUCUACCCGGCAAGGACGGCACUGAAGAAUACCAGCUACGAGCCAUGGCAUUAGCGUAGCCUAUAGUGCAACUUCAUAUACUACGGAGUAGUAUCUAGGAAAUUUGCACUAAAACCAUUAGAAACGGAGGGAGUACUAUUAAGUAAGCACAAUUUCACAACUUUUGUACCUUUGUGUUCAUAUACUGUACUGGUACUGUUAAGUAUACUUCUCAUAAAUUGGCCCUGGACCUAACCGAUCGGUUCAUCACUCCUCUAAGAGUAUGAAAUAAUUCAAACAUGGACACUUUCAGAACCUCAAGAAAGGAUGACACUUUUAGAAUGGAUUUCUUGGUGCAUCACGCUUUGCAAAUCAAGCCGGCCAUAUCCCUUUCUGUACAGUGAACAGAUCAAAACGGAAGCAACCACGACUGCUGAGUGUUUACACGACAUUUCGACAUAAAAUCCGACGGAAAUCAAGUACCUCUGCUGCGCGUGUGGUGUGACCAGUCAAUGCAUUUUCUCCAGCUAUCUAAAGUAAUCCCUGUUUUCAUACACUACUACUACGCGGGCAAACGGGGUGCAGGGAAAUUCAGGACGCCCUUUUCCUUUGUGUCCUGAUGAGAUGAUGUGAUAUUCCCAUAUCUCCAUAUAUGGUUCAUAAAGACAUAAAUCAAUUAAAGAUUGCCGUGAUGGGUUGUUAGUUUUUCUUGUUUCGUGUUGUCACCAACUGUACUCCAAUCACCUUAGCUCGAUCCUGUCCCUCUUUAUUCCGGUCUUCGCAGCUGAUGGCGACUAAUAACCGUGGGGGUGAGCUAGCUCAAGCUGUAUGUAUGCAGUAUGCAUACUAUUCCAAUUGUUUACAGAAAAUCCAGAAGAAAGAUAACGUUGCAUUGAAACGACUGACCGAAUGGGGCCUGUACGCAUAUGUCGGGAAAAUUGUGCAAGUUUUUUUUUCCUCUGUACAUUUGAGAAAUGAACAGAAUCAUUCUGAUAAAUUUAAUAGAGGAAGGUUUUCUUUCACUAAAAGAUAAACUAAGAUGUGGCAAGAAAAUAAAUUUAAAAGGUGACUCGUGCAUACCCAUGGCCCUCGACCGGAAUUCCAUUGUUUAAUUUUUUUUCAUUUCUGUGCAGCUUUUCAUUUCCUUUUCUUUCUCUUUCUUUUAUUUCACCAACCGUGAUCGCGUUCUGUACCUGACAAACGUGUUUGAACGACUGCUUGUUGUUGCCUGGGGGUGACAAAGGGUACGGUCGGUGUAGAAAGCAUGAAGCAUCUGAGCGAGAGCUCAAAAAGUGUGCUGCGGCAAAGCUUUUGUUAAACCGGCCUUUGUUUUGGAGAACAUCAAGAUUAGAUUAGGUACAUAUUAAUGUUCAGCUUCGAACUUUACCUGAGUUAUACGCUACAUAAAUACUACUUUAAUCUGGAUAGAUGUGCCUUUCUAGCUUGUAGGAGUAUAUUUACGUUCCAUGCCAAUCUCACGCAGUCCUAACGUCUGAUGCCAUUAAUUUGCAAAAACUAAGCAAGGUUUUAAAUUCGUGCUAAAUCAUUUCGCGUCGGCAUCCUCCAGAGUGCCGCAACCGCGCCAUCUCCUACAAAAAAUUAGCGUCACAUCUAAAUUUAUCUGUCAUAUAAUGAAAUUUUGAUUUCGUGGCAACUGUCGUAACGUCGCGCCGAGGAUUCCGUGCCGUUAUAGCGGCCAAAUCGCGCACUAUUUAUUUCUAUGAAACCAAGUGACCAAAUAAGAUGUUAAAUAACAAAAAAAAGAAAUAACUAGGAAUUGCAUUCGAUUUUGCUAAAGGGUAUCUUACCCACCCCUUUCUUAUAUGGACAACAAAGAGUUCGAUCGUGCAUGCAUGACCAUCAGUCCAGCAUUUCUCACACCAGCUAGUCCAAGCAUUGUCAAUAUAUUAUCCUCUCAUUUUCCUUAAUUUUAAUUAGUUAAUGACUUUGCACAUGCAGAGCAAAUCACCAAACAUACAGCCUAGCCUAUCCAUCUGAUCCCCUGUCCCUGCUCCCCCCGGCGCUUUAUAUACCACUGACGAGCACGAAGCCGGUUUCUCAAAACAAAACCACAACGAUCGACGGAUCGAGCAAAGCCGAAACCCACCAGCGCGUGCGCCAACCGAGAAAUCAAGCAAAGCCAAAGCAACAACAAUGGGGGAGGAGGCGCCGUGCAGCGUCGUGCCGCGCCGGGCCGCGGCGGCGAUGCACUUCCGCCUGCCGCGCCACGGGCUACGCCGCAAGGUCCUCAUCGUCCGCCUCGGCGGCAGUGCCGGCGGCGGCGCGGCACGGGCGGGCGGCAACCGGCGGAUCAAGCUCCGGCGGUGGUUCCGCCGCGCCAUGUGGACCCUCGCUGAGCUCUGCGUGGCGGUGCUGUCCGGGCCCCCGGCCCCGGGGAAGCCGCCGUCCGACUCGUCGCCGUGGAUGGGCGUCGAGCCGUGCUUCGCCGCGCCAUUCGUGCCGGCCGUGCUGAUGAGGCGCGCAGGGCAAUAUGCUAGCUAAGCUAAGCUUUGACUCGUGACCUCCGCGAAGAUAACACUGAUGUAUGUACAUACGGCUGCUGAAUGUGCAAACGAUUUGUGCCGCAACGCAAGCGAUUUGUUAAUUUCUGAAACUCUGAAGAUUACAUUCACUGGUCCUGCUCCUGCUCCUGCUCCGGAUUUCCUCUCCGUUUUCUUUAACUUUCUUCGUAAUCUUCUGAUUUUUGCUUCCAACGCAAAGGGAAGUUUGGUGCCGCACUGUGCUAUUGCAAUUCUGAUUACAUGGACGCUCAGCAGUAGCUAUCUUCCCGUCUGAAUGUAGGAGACAUUUUGUCAUUGCCUGACUUUAAGCUUUGAUCACAGUUUAAUCCAAUGAUAUAUGGUCUAUGUGGUACACAUUUGAUAUGGUUGGGUUCACGUCAAAAAAGUACAUUCGUCGUCAAAAGGUACGAUAGAAAAAAUUGUGGUCAAAGAUUGAACUUGGACAGUCAAAAUAAGUCUUAUACAACAGGACAGAGUGGACAGAACAGUCAAAAUUCUUCCUCAAAAAAAAAAAAGGACAGUCAAAAUUCAUGAGUGGAGUUGGCUCCCAUAAAAUUCAUUAUUUGGCCUCAAUUCCAUACGAUUCUAACAUAGACUCAAACCCCAUUCUCUUUUUCUUUUGAAAAGUCCAAUGCAUCUAGUCUCUACUCCCUCUGCUAAUUCUUGUAAAAAUAUCUAGGCGACAAUGAAAACUUCUAAUCACAUAAACGUGUUUUAUGAAUGGGGUUUUCAUUCUCAAUAAAUUCUUCCAUCUUCUGAAAACUUCAAUAGUACCCAUUAGAUUUUUAAAUAAACGGACGGACCUGAUAAAAGGUGAAACUACUGAUCGCUUGAACGCAUCUUAUGAAAGAAAGAAAAACUCGUAAGUACAGUUCUAAGUUUUUUUUCUUCAGAAAAUACAGUUUAAGUGAAUAGAUGGUCGAUCUGUCACCUGAUCUGUUUAUUUAAGAAUUAAGAUCUAAUGAAUAGAAUUUGAAAUUUUUCAUAUUUUCACCUGGGACGUUAUCUAUGUCCUGUACGCAUUCACCGUACAUAUCCAAAUAAAUUCUAAUCAUGUGUUUGUCCUGUUCCAACUUUCUCUAGUUCCUGCUAUCCAAAUAAACUGGCAAUGCUGCCCAUGGAUGAUUGAUUCCAUUUGAUCUCCACAUUCUCAAAGAAUUCGCUUUGUCGCCCGAGAGUGCGUGUUGACGUAACUAGUACCGACAAAAUCAACAGCAACAUUCAGAGAGUUUUUUCUCCAUGCUCUCAGAUGCCGGAGACUACAAGCAAACCCUGCAGAAAUUCCACGUCCGUAAACUACAAGCAAAAUUAGUCAGCAAACUUGCAUAAAACCCAUGUUCUGGUGUAUGGCACGCGAGCAGAGGCCGGGUGAUCAGCCGCCAUUAACGCCGGACUUUCUGUACAGUCUGUGCGUGCGCGGCAGGCAGGAUUCAGGAGCCGACAAACUCGGAAACCCAGCCCCAAUCCCGAUCGACUACCCGAUCGAGCAUGCAUGUUGCCGCGUUGAAUGCCAAGACAGGGACAGGUGCCCUGCCCGCCUUGCACUGCCAUGUGCACUCCGGCCGUUGUGGGCAACACGCCCGUGAUGUGUUGUUCCCAUCAUAUCGUCAGUGGUCGCCGCUCGCCAAACUACCGUGGCGCCAUUGCAACCGGAACACGAGAAGGAAGUAGAUGAGGAGAAGAAGAACAAGCUUACCCCCAUCCAUCAUUGGCCGGUCGCGUCCCGUCCCGUCCCGUACCUUGGCCUAACUAACCCGUGAUCUCUCUCUUUCUCGAUCCGGUGUCCAGUCGCGCUGGAUUGCGUAUCAUGCAUCCAUGAAAGUACUUCCUCCGUCUCAUAAUACGAGACACGCACGCAUUCCUAAAUCAUCAAUUUAACUAACUAAAAAUUAAAUAAUAAAAAGUUUAUAUCAUUAGAAAGUUUCUUCGAUAACAAAUCUAAUGAUAUACUUUUUUGUUAAAGAACAUACAUAUUUAAUUAAUCAAAUUGAUGAUUUAGAACGCGUGCGCGUCUCAUAUUAUGGGACGAGAAAGCAGUAGAAUGAUGGAACUUGCAGGGGAUUGGUUUCGCAGGGAUAUAAUUGAUGCCUUCGUACUUUUGAUAUGUUGGGGCUGGCCGGCUGGCACAGUAUCUCCUCCUGCAUUGCAAGCGACAUCGUCGCAGAUCACUGCAGUAAUCCUUGUUCGAUUUUUUUCGUAAUCCUGCUGGUUAAAAUGGUACUUUUCGAAAGGGAAAUGGCAGCUGCAAUGCAACCGAGAGAGACAAACAGAGGCAGAGAGCCGCCGAUACUGUGGCUCUGCUGAUGCCAAGGCACAUCUCCGUAGACCGAUCAAGAUUUUGUCGCGAGAUCACCUUAUCACACAUAUUUUGAUGAAUGAUGACUCCGGCUUUCAGAUGGACACAGCGAAAUGAAAGCGGGAAUGGAUAGGGCCACCGGGAAACAGACUGGAGAUAUUAUUGCACAAACCCAGACAUGACAGCCGAACGAUCCUGCGGGGUCAUAAUGCCAUUGGAAAAAGAAAACAGAAAGGUAAAAGGAACAUGAAAAUACAAAUGCAGGGCGAGAUAGGAGCUCCCAAGAAAAGCGAAACUGUAGGAAUACAAGAAUACAUGAUGCACUGCUACUGAAAAACAAGCUGUUCACCGAAACUCCCCGAUCCAAUUCAUUUGGCUAAACAAGAAGCAUAUGAGGCAGAGUGCAACCAAGGGCUUCCAUUUACCCAUAAAUAUAGCAAGAGCCGCCAUAAAAAACCAGCGGCCACAAAGGGUCAACAACUAUCAAGGAGACCAAUGGAUUUUAAUCAAAGUCUAGGAACUCCAUCCUCUUCCUCAUCGUGCCUUUCAGAUCUCUUGCUUCCUUUUCUGCUUUCUCAGCCUGGGGAAAGAAGGAGAGAUAGAAACAUAUUAUCAGUUGCGAAGUGUAUUUUUUUUAAACAUGGGUAUAUAUGAACCCACCUUUAGUAACUUGGCAAAAGAAAAAGAAAAUCAUUUUUUCAAGUUUCAAAAUAAUUUGAAAAGAUUAUGCACGUAGAAAACAGGUAGAGGGAGUAUCAUUUGUGAGCUAUGCAAAAAUCAUAAAAGUGAGGUACAAACAAAUGGAUCAUAUAUUUUUAAGAAAAUUUACAGGCCUAAGUUUCUCUCCAUGAUCUGCUUGCGCGAUUUUUCUAUAAAAAAAAGACCUUAAAAAUACCAUGUUUGCUAAUUUUGUAGAAAUUGGGUUCAUAUGGACCCCGGAUCAUUUUAGCAUAACUCUUUGGCAUUCAUCUUUGUGCCAUAAGACCAGUUGUUACAUAAGCAUGAAAACAUGAUCACAGACUGAUGUAUAUAAAUUAUAAAAUGCCAGUCUUGCUCCAUGCAAUAAACGCAUUGAGUAAAUAAAUAACUCCAGGCAAUGGAGCCGAUCUCAAGGAUAAGUUCAAAGAAUCUCGAUUGCUUGUGCAUACAUGUGCCUCAAAAUAGUGCAUAAAGAUGGAACGACCAAAUGAUGAUGAUGAUUGGAACUAGAGUUUCUCCGUGACAUAUAUUUUCAUUUUCCUUGGCUCAUGUCUGUCUUAGACUUGCAGAAAAGAGAGAGCUAGGUUGUACAGCAUAUGUGGAACAAAUUGCUUAGAACUUUAGCCACAAAAACCAAAAGAAAAACUAGAAACUUAAAAACAAGAUUUAUCCAGUGAAGUGUGUACCGUUCUUAUAUCAGCCUCUGAGACGCAAGUCAUGUGACUAGGGAGUUCGUCCUUCUCACGAUCCUGCUCAAUGCAAUACCAGAUCUAUAGCAUGAAUAGGGGGGAAAUGGAUUUGACCAUGGUCAUUUCUUAGUGCAACAGAGAUCAUUACCAAUUCUCCAAUUAAUACAACAUUCUCUCCCCGGAUCACAUACAGACCAAGAGGAACAUCACAAUAUAAUUCUCCUACAAUUACUCGUUCACAUGCACCCUGAAGAACAACAUUUGCUACAAAGUAAAACAUAAAAGAUGAGCUUUAUGGCAGAAAAAUAUGUAAAUAUAAGCAGAUGUCAUAAGUGGCAUACCAAACUGAUCAAAUGAGCAGAGCGUGCCAAGUAGCUUUCGUCCAUCUCGUAGUAGGACAAUAAGUUUCUCUGGAAUUAAAGAGAUCCAUAAACAGUCACUAAAUAGCAUUGCCAAGCAAACAAGUUAUAGAAGGCAAAGAUAUAUCAACCCAGACAGUAAUUAGGUACAGGUGUUUCUGUUUGUAUUUGCAAAGCUAAAGUUAGCAGUAAACUUUUCAUACAGAUACUCACACUCUGCAAGUGGUACUGUUUUCAAUUAUUUGGUCAAUCGCAUGAAAUAGCAAAACUAAGUGUAUCUGUUUCUGAUCAACCUACACAAUAAUUAAUGAUGAAGGAUAUAAUGAGUGUAUAGCACAUUACCAAUCAAACUGAUUAAAUUACAAUAUCCUUUGGUUAGAAGGUACACUUGAGAAUUACAAAGCUGCCAAGAAAACUUAUCAACAACUAGGUAUACAUUCCUGAAUACUUCAAAAACUUCACCGGUACAGUUUAGCUCAACUGAUGAUUUACUCAAACAAUUAAACAAUCAUGUGUACCUCUGCAGCUUGCAUCUAUAUUAUUUACAUUGUUAUUCUCAAGUGUCUAGCAAUCUGAAGUGUCAUCGGCCCAUGAAUAACACUUAAUAAUAAUAAUAAUAACAAUAAUAGUAAUAAUAAUAAUAAUAAUAAAAGCUGAAGUAUGUCAUCAGCCCAUGCCCUUUCUAUCAGAGCUUCUAUUGCCAAACACAGCUCACAACAAUGAAAAUUGCAAGACUCAUCCACUAAAUAAAAGAAGCUCAGAUGGACCAGUGCAUCUAUGCUACUGGGAGUACCAAAAGUAAAGCUCUUUGUGAUCAAUGACCAUCAAAUGGGGGCUGCAAUAACAAGCUUUGUAACUAUAGUAGUGCAAAAAUUACAACUAACUAACUAACUAACAGAUCAACAUCAUAUACUCAUAUUCCAGGUAGUAUUAAGUGCAUAAUAUAGUUUACGACAGUACGACUAGCAAGCAAAAUAAAAUUCCAGCUUCUACAACAAGUAAAGUACAAAGCGGUAUAUAGAAAUUAAAGGAUGUACCAAAGUUUUGACACAGAAUUACUAUUAUCAAGGGGUGCACUUGUGUUCUUUCUUGAGGUUCAGUAACCACCCAUCCACAAAGGCACAAACACACAUUUUUUUCAUUGGAAAUAUGCGGUUAGUAUAUUACUUAAACCUAAUAUAAAAUUUAAUUUACAAUCUAAUGUUCAAACCCCCAAGACAAAUUACUAAAGUAUACAAUAUUUCGUGAUCUACCCUACCCAACCAACUGAGUGCAUAAAAGUGCUCCAUGCCUCCAUCAACAACCCAAAUCUACACUAGUUGGGUCCAAUUAACCAUACUUUUGGGCUUAUCCUGAAGGAAGUUUGAGCAAGGAUCUUACAUAAUCACCAAAACCACAGUGAAACAAGCUAUGGGACCAUAUUACAUGAAGUAUCAAUGCAUGUAUUUAUGUAACACAUCCAUCACAGCUCUACCAUGGUAUUACCAUAGGCAGCUCCAUACAAUAAUUCUAGCGAUAUUACAAGGAAUUCAGCCACAGACAUUCCAUUCUAAACUCUAGCCAGACAGCCAGAGUAACCUACCAAAAGCUUCCACCUUCCAAUGAAGUGAUGAACCAUAUAAAGUUUCCCCAUAUUUGCAUCAAUUUGCUGCCAAUACAAAUAAUAACAUGACGUUUGGACCAAUUUCAUCCUUAUCCUACAAAGACCGUCUCCUUUUGACACAAAUUGCAUAACCGAAGCAUCGAGGUCAAGCCGGAAGCUACACAAUCGGAUCCAAGAUCCCCACAAAAAUCACGCCCUGACGCAAAGGUUCCAUGAUACGAACCACGGCCAGUAUCGGGGAAACUAAAGGAGGCAAAACAAGCAUCUGAUAAAGGAAUCUCACUGUCUAAGAAGCCAGCCAGGGAGGUGGAGAGGAGCAUCUCGUCGGGCCCGGCCCAAGACAUCGCGCCGAAGCCGAAUCCGGCGCUAGAGAUAACAGUAGCCAAUAGAUGGCCCGGCCGGGGCUGGAAUUGGAGCUCUGCGGUUCGCCGGGGUGAUGCCAAGUGAUUGCUUCUAGGGUUUGAGUUGGAGAAGAAUUGGGUGGAUCGAAGCAGGAGAUGCAAGGUUCGUUUGCAGUGAGGUUGACGCAGGGAGGAAGAAAAGGAGGUCCAUCCGUAAGGGGACGUGACGAGGCGCUGACCAGUGGGGUCAAGGACUAGCAGGGGCCACGAUGGCUUAUCAGUUGUGUUACUUAUGUGGACUGGACUUUUGCAUUUCCUCCUCAACAGUCAUUGUUCACAGUAAAUCCUGGAAAAAAAAUGACUAUUUAUAAACCGUACAAAUAAGUAUGUUGUGGCAAUCCUAUGUCUUUUGUGAUUUUUUAUGCCACGGAAGAUGUCAUACAAAAUUCGGCAACAAAUGUUCAUGUACUUACUUGUAAUACAGUUAAUGAUUUUUCAAUUAUUUUUUAAACUUUCAUGUUAAUAGUUUGAACCUACAUCAUGGGGUCAGCUAGUUGUGAAAAAUUGCAUUUCUGGGCAAUUGGUCUUGUUAGAUUGGCAAGUUGAAAAAGUCUAUUCAACUAACUUGAGCUCAACAAAUGUUAAUAUUUAGACUCUUAGGAUUAAUAAUAAAUAUCAUCAAAGGGAUUCCUAGUAUUCGAAGUUAUGCUAGUGAGUGCAUUUUGUACUCAUCAUUUCUCGUGAUUAAUCUUUAUAUUCUUGAGAUGUUGAUAUUCCUUUUUUUAUUAUAACUUUUUACAUAAUCUACCUUUGUUGCUACGUGAAUUGAUAAAUUAUAUUUAUGAUCAUUUUCUUUCAAAUAAGAUGGCACCUCUUACUCUCCUGGGGAGAAUAUUCAUUUUUAUAUCUUUUGAUCAUCCAUUAUCAUAAAUAAAUCAUGACAUGACCGGUAUGAACUAUAAUCAUGAAUUUAACUUCUUAAUUAAUGAAGAAUCGAUCAUAGACAAUUGUCAAUGCUUGUACUUUAUAUCACCUAAGUUUGUUAGCGAUUGAGAGGGAGAGUAUAAUGAUUCAUACCACUUACGUGAACCACAUUAAGCUUCAAAACAUACAUUUUUAUCAUCCUACGUACUCGAGUGCGAGAAAAGCUUAAGCUUGGGGAUGUCGAUACGUUGAUUUUUUGUAGUCUAACGAUGUAUUUUAUAAAAUUAAAAUCAAGAAAAAUAAAUAAAGACCAAUCACUAUUAUGAAGGUUCAAUUAAUCUAAUCUAAUGAUUUCACCAAAAUAACAUUUUCCUUGUUUUUUUGUGUAAUCAAUUAUAUUUUUAUUAGAAGAAAAAAUCUCUUCCGUGAGACCUUGAACCCAGUCGAUGUGAUUGUAUACAUCCAUCCCCCCAACCAAGUAAACUAGGUAAUCUCCUAAUCAAGUAGUUCGAGCAUUCAACGUCAGUACCGCUUCGCCCGUUCCGGUAGGAGCAAAGGUGCAAAAGGAAACUGAACAGGCUAUUGAUGUGGAUUCAGCAUUAGCAUCGGAAGGUUUUUUAUUUUCUUUCAGAAGUUAGUUUUUUUCCCAGCCGCCCGCCGCAACAAACAAAAGAAACCCUCUUUCAACGCGUACCCAAGAUCUGAACUGGCUUGGCCCUUCCUUCGCUUCCUGCCGUGCGCCAUGCCCCGUUAUUAGUAUUGUCCAUGCCAUACUUAGUUGAAGUACAUUAGUAUUGUCCAUGCCAUGCUUAGUUGAAGUACAUUUGUGUUGCUUGGAACAUGUGUUAUAUAUUAUUCUAUACCUGUCUCUUGUUAGCUAGAUUUGCGUGUGUGCAUUAGUGUUUUAAUCUAGUAACUUUGCCAUGUUGUAUUGUCCUUGUCUUCCUGUGAUUUGUUCCGUUUGAUGUUCAUAUUGUAAUGCUUUGUGUGCUAGGAUAAGCUGGUUAUCUCUUGUUAAUGCAUCUAUAGUACCAUAUGCUUGCUUGGUCAUGCAUGUAUUUUAUUACAUUCACAUGCUUGUAUUCUUAAUGUGUGUGUCAUAUGUAACAUAUACUUGCUAACUUCCUAGUUCACUUUUAUAAAAAGUUUAUGCAAAUCAUGUCUUGAUUGCUUUCCAUGUUGCACUUCAUAACAUGUUUUGAUUGCUCUAUCCAAAGGUUCACCACUAGGAUGUAUGUAAGAGUUGCUAGAUGCUUAGUUUACUAUCCUUGUAUGAUAUAUGCUUCCUAGGACGUUGAUAUUACUAGCUUACUAUCGUAUACCAUCCAUCGUCAACCUUUUGCUUGCUAGUGAUACAUGUUAGUAGUUGAUUAUUCUCUUAUAUGCUACCUAGUGAUUGAUUCUCUUUACUUGUUCAGUAGCACUCCAUGUUGCUUAGUGCAUGUAUGGUGUGUAUGUUCAUGCAAUUGCAUGAUUGCUUAUUUAUUAUUGCUAGCUUGUUUACAUAUGUCUUAGGUAGUAUUAUGCUUAUGUAUUUUCCAUUGCAUACUAGUAUACUAUGUUGUCUUUAUGUGCCAUUCGCUCAUAGUUGUUGUCUCAUAUGAUUCUCUAAGUAUUAUGAUAUGCUUGUAUGCUUAGUAUUUACUAUGCCUUUGUCAUCAUGCACAUUUGAAAGUUAUAUUGUUGCUAAAUUCUAAUUGUUCCUUGUACCUCUAGUGUAAGUUCUACUUAUCUCAAUGCAUAUGUGUUCCAUCACCCUGUGGUGCAUUGCAUAUAGCUUAAAUGCAUCUAUUAUGUGUAACUAUGCUCAUGUUACUAAUAUAGAUCAUAUACUUGCUUCCUCAUUAUUAUAUAAUUGUGUACGACAUGCUUUGAUAGUUUUCUAUCAGUUGGUGUUUGCAUGACAUAUGUUUAACAGUUGUUAGCAUGUUAUGUGUUCAAUCAUUUGUCUUGAUCUAGAACUAUAAAUCCAUGUAUAGCUUUAUCUUGCAUAGAGAUUUAUCUUAGCUCUUGUUAGGCUCUUAUCCUUGUAAUGAUUGCUAGAUUCAUUAUGCUUCUUGUUUGUAUCACUAGUAUGAUAGGAGUUGUUUGAUGCUUGCAAACUAGCAUGAUAAGGUGUGUUGUUUUGUGACUGUUUACAUUUAUGCUUGAGCUAUAUGGUUAGUAGCAGUGUGACUAUAUGGUGUAGUAUAAUAUUUAUUACUUCAUAAAGGGUACGAUCAAUCAAGCUAUGUCCCUCAUUCUGGGUAUAUAGUUUACUUUGUUAGAAUCAAUCUCAUUGUUCCAUCUUAUCAAAGUUGUUCCUAUCCUUUCCAAGUUUCCAAACCUAUUCUUAGCCGCCUUGUCUAUUCACUCUCCUAUUUGCAUUUCAUUUGGUUUUAUUGUAUUUGUAUUUAUUUCAUUUGUUCUGGUUACCGCUACGACGAGUACAGAGUGACGAGGUGGAACCAGGACAAUGAAGAAGAAGAAUUCAUCAACGGAGGCACUCCCACCCCCCCCCCCUCUCUUUGAUCAUAUUUAUCCUAUGGUUUCAAAUGGGCAUUAGUUAGUUAUUUUAUUGUUUUAUAAACAUGCAUGAUAUUUUAUUCCUGUAGCUGGUGUGUCGAUUGACACUUUGCCAUGAUCUGCUUGCAACCAUUCCUUUGAUACCUGGAGUAGUUUUAUAUAGUAAUCUUGUAGAGUAGAAAUGCUUAGCCUUGCUUAUAUUAUUCAUUAGGAAUCACUCUUUUGCCAAUUCAAGGAUUCUAUGUGAUCUUCGGAUCGAUGAUAUCAUUGCUGAAAGUUGUUGAGCUCACUGAGCUGGGUGUAGUCCCUCUUCUUGGAACCUUAUUCUACUCUUUCUACCUACUCUGGGUGAAACUUACCAUACAACUGAGGCGGGCCGCAGCUGGAUCAUUAGUUGAAGGAGCAAUUGCUUGCCUGUGUGGGAGCAAUUAGCCGCCCGUAGCGGAUGAGGCCUAAUAAGUCUUGAAUUUGAAGAUUGUGACAACCGUGCGACCACAUGCUAUAUGGGCUCUGGCUUGGUUUAGUAUGGAGUUCAUGCUUAGUGUUGGCAAAGCCGUACCGCUCAUGGGGUGUCGCCUGAGAUAGGGAGCCCUCGGCACAAAAGGGGGGCCCGGACUGUGAAUCGCCAGACAAUGUCCUUCCGUGUUGAAACCUAGUGGGCGUGUCACAUUGAAUAUGUUCUUUUGAAAGACCUUGUCACGACUCACUGCCGGUACACAUUUGUGUGUGUAUUCACCGGAGGCCGCUGGUUAGGCACCGGGCGAGAUUGUGUCAUGUGGGUACAGCGUACGACCUCUGCAGAUUGUAACACUAUUCGAAUAGCCGUGUCCACGGUCAUGGACGACACAUGAAUCUUUCUUGACAUACUGGAUCUGUCUUCUUUCCCUUCCUUCCUCCCUCUCGGACUUAUUGCUGGAACUAAGGAUUUGGGUGAGUGGUCGAGUACCCUCACGUUGUUGGAUAAUGCUUUGGAGAUAAACUUGUUUUUAUCAAAACCGCCUUCAUCAAAAGUAUGGUAGCAUUUCAAAUAAAACCGCUUCUAUGCAAAAGAACCAUAUAGCCUUCAUUUGAAGCCAACAUAUAGUUAUCAGGGUUCCCAGAGGGGGGCACGCUGAGUAUGUAAUGUACUCAUCGCAUUGCUUUUGUUGUUGUUGUACAGAGUUCCUGAAGAUAAGGAUGCUGAUUAUGAAUACUAUGAGGAUCUAAGGAGUGAGGUCACGAGGACUACAUCAACUGCCUGUGGCUGAGAUGGAGUCGCUGCGCAUUUUACUUUCGGUUGUUUUCUGAUUAUAACAAUGUCAUGAGACAUUACACUUUGUAAGCCAUUGGGUAUAUUAAUAAUAAAGCUUUGUUGUAUCUUAAGUGUUGUGCAAUGUUAGUCAUUUCGCCUGUGUUCAUCAGCUUGAUCUGGACUGAUGAAACUUAGCACAUGGGGGUCUGGAAGUUAAUUCCGGGUUCCCACAGGUUGAGGCCAUAAUUGAGCAGCGUGAAUCCGCCCUGCGUCAUUGCGGUUCAUGGCCACAGCUUGCACGGCCCCAACCGUUUCGAUUUCAAAAUUACAUCAUGGAAUCCAUGGAAGCCACCAUGGAAGCCAGCGAUUUCUGGGCUGCUCUUGACUUUGACAAGCGCCUUCCACACCUCCAGCCAGAGUAUCCUACCACGAGCUUGGUUGACCCUGAUGUCGUCUGCUUUGUGUUGAUCAUGAUGCACUGGCUGGUUGAGGUCAACUUGAAGAAGAUGGUGCUGGGGCCGGUCACCCUCUAUAUCAGUGGGGACGAUGAAGAAGGGUGCUCUGCUAACAUGACCCGCAGGACCUAUUUGGAAGGCCCCUUUAUCCCCAGAAAGUUCACCCUGUGCUUGGAUAAGCAUUCGAUCAAAAGGUAAUUAUGGGUCAUGUUUAUUUGUGCGUCUUAUUAUUACCCUUGACAUUCAUGUUAAAUGUUUCAUCUCAUAGCAUAUUUCCUAGUACUAGUUAGUAUAUAUAUUUUACUCGUCCAUUAUUUGUAUGUUCUUGUAAAUUUCAGAGCUCAACAGAACACGAUCUUUAAUGACUAGACAUUUUAGCUUAGGAAGAUGAUUAAUCAGUCCUGUGACCAUGCAUGGUUUGAUGUUACAUCACAUCAACACACAAUUUUUUUUUCGAAAAGGGGAAACGAUCCCCGGCCUCGGCAUAAAUCGAUGCGCACAUCGACGGACAAUUGUCUAGACAUUUUUAAAUAUUGAAUAGUCUUUUGGUUGUUAAUUUUGUACUUCCCCUUUCGUUUAGACUUGUGCUUUGCCUCUAUUAUAUCUCACUUGGAUCCUGCAGGAGCAAUGAGUCAUUUGGUCUUAAGUUGAUGCUCAUCCUCUCAAACAUAUAUAUUAUGAUCUUAACCUAAUAGUAUCUUAUUACACGGUUUGGUUACGUAAUUAGUUAAAAGAAAUUGUGAUGCCAUGUAAAACUCAAACAAAUUUGGCAAACUAGUGAUGUAAAACAAAUACCAUCUCCGUUUCCAUCAGAUAGAAGAAUAUACUGGCUAGUUAGUAUAAUCUUACUCAUUUAUUAUUUAUGUUCUUGUAAAUUUAAGAUCUCGACGGAACAAGAUGUUUAAUAGCUAGGCAAUUAUCUCAGGAAUCUAAGAGACAUAAACCAAUCUUGUGAAGCAUGGUUUAUUGUCACAUCAUAGCAACACAAUUGUCUAAAUGGCUAGCCAAUCUUUAAUUUGUUUAAUAGUCAUUUCAUUGUUGGUAGUAUUGUGCUUUUGUACUUUCUGUCCUGUAGAUUUGUGCUCUGCAUGUUACAGUUCACUCGCAUCCCUUGGGAGCAACACAACAAAUUUCAUUUUAGCUCCUAAACUAGGGUGUAAAACAAAGAUUACCUCUGUUUCACAAUAUUUUCCAUGUGUGCAUGCCAAACAGCCAAAGAGGCACAUAAUCCAAGCAAUAUUUGAUAGGAUUAAAGAUAUACUUACUUUAUAGAAUAGCAGUACGUCGAUCAAAUAAUUACCAGGGUGUUAUGGUUUGAUCAAAUAUUAAAUAAUUUGUGUGCCUUGAUUUGCAUACCAGAUAUGGAUUUUGAAAACAAAAGUAGUAUAACUUGCAUGUUAUAAAACAAAUAUUAUGCAUUGAUAGUGAUGGCAAGUCACUCUGUCAGACAUAGUGACUGAUCGUUGCAAGCCCACUCUGUGGCCAUGGUCUUUGGUAGGAACUUUUGAGAAAAUCAUUGAGGGAAAUCGGUGGUCAAGGGCACAAAAGUUCAAAGUGCAUGUACGUAGGCGGAGUAUUGUUUCAAUUAAAAUGAGUAUUGUUUAGUAGGAUGCCAAUUGUAUAUUUAUGUGUCCAAUUCAGUAAUGCACGUCAUGCAGUCGAUCUUUCUUUAAUAAAUAAUACACAAUGCUUUUGUGUAUUCAAGAAAAAGAGGGGCAAAAGAAAUACAAUUCGUUUUGUACUUAGUGUGGAAGGCCUAUCUACUUUGCAGUUUUCCUUGUGUUGCCGACGUCACUUGAAAUAUUAAUCAUAGAUUAUGUUUAUUACUCUCUCCUUUUCUUAAAGAUCAAAAGCGGAGCUAGACAGUUUGAGCAUUGGGUUCAGCCUUUUGUAACCAUGGGUUUCAACCAUAGUUUUGUCUCUAAAUUAAAAUGAAUUUCAUCAUUUUUAAUGGGUUCAGCUGAACCCAAUGGCAAUACUCUAGCUCUGCCACUGAUAAAGGUUGGCGUACACUAGGUUUGGCAUUACUGAACUGUAUUGCGCUGAACUUAUUUUAUAAUCUGCUAUUGAAAAUUACACACGAAAGUAGAAAAUUUUGAUUAGAUAGACACAAAAAUAGUCAAAAGCCGGUUGAAAGGGCUGGAUAUUAUCAUAAUCCACCUCACUGCCAACCGCAGCCAUAUUUGGUUUCGUUUAUACAAGUUUUGACUAAAAAUUACUUUAUUCGUAUCUGAUUUUUAAGACAUGAAACUUAUACCAAUAGAUUCAUUUCAAAAGUCCUUGCUGAUGAUUGUGGUUUCAUAUCAUAUAUUACGUAUUAAUAAAGUUAUUAUUGGUCAAACUCUUGUCAUGAUGAAAACAAAUAAGCCAACCUUUGUGAAAAAAUAAGAGUAUUUAUUUUUCAUAGUGUUAAAUAUUUAGGCCCGCCAGCUAGUCUCUCGUCAACUGUUAUUGUAGGGUUGACAUCUGUAUGGUUAUUAGUUUGUAGUUGUAACAUCGAAGCGGCUUGUUUACACAUCUCUUUGGCAGCAUUUCCGUAGGCAUUGUGCUUUAAUAUGGACUUUGUUAUAUUUGCAAAAACAACUUAUAUUUACACUGUUAGGAUAAUCUUGAGUUUGAGUCCAGUUAGGUGCAUGUGUUUGUGUCCUAAUCAGAUUAGGAGUGUGUCUAUGCGUGAGUUAGUAGUGUUCAUGUACAUGUGUGAUUCAGCGUGAGUUGUGUUCGAGUUGGACUAGUAUUUCGUAUGGUGUUGGGCUUGUGCGUGUAUAUAUACGCAUGCAACCCUCUAGCUUGUAAUCAAGGUGGUGGGAUUUGAGAAAGAAAUAAAGAGAAAAUAGAGGGCACGAUAUGCGCCCUUGUCCAAAUAAUAGUGUGAUUGUUUCUGCGUGUGCGUCUUCAUGUCUUGAUCUUUGGGCAAACCCAACAUUUGGUAUCAGAGCGAGAUCCAAGAUUUGAAGACGUGCUUGCCUCGGGGAGGCGAUGUGCUAGCGCCUCGGGGCGGGCAACGGUGGCGGAGCGGCGUCCGCGGAUUGAAGCGGUCAAUCGAUGGAGUGGCGUCUGCAGAUCAAAGCGAGCGAUCUGCGUCUUUGCGGUGGAGUAGAGUGCAACGGAUUGGAUCGAGUUGUCGCUGUGGUGGGCCGAUUUUCUAGUAACGGGAGAUCAUAAUACUGAUCACCGGAAAGUACUCGGCAUCAGGGCAAACUGUCGUUGGCAAGCUCGUUGAGGAGUUAUAUGUGUCCAGGUCAGCGUCUGUGAGUCAUGGUUGUGUUCAAGUGCUCGUCGGUGUGAGGUUCUGUUGAAGUGGAAGCAUGUCACGGUCGAAAGUUGUCCGGUAUGGUGUGUCAUCGGAACAAGAGAUCGACGUGCGUGCAGACGAGGUGGCAUGUGGUCACCUGCGUGUCUCGGCGAGAAGAUCAAGUUCGGCGUGUAGUGGGACCAUGACCAGUUUCUGCGUGAUGUGUCUAAUCUGCAUGUAGCACGCGAGAUGUGUCUGCAUGGGAUGGUAGUCCGGAUCAUGCGUUGAGUUGAUCGACGAGUCGUGAAGCUGAAGAGAGAGCCAAAAGCAGGGGGAGCAUGGAAGACGUCAACUUCAAGAUUAAGGGGAGAUUGUUAGGAUAAUCUUGAAUUUGGGUCUAGCUAGGUGCAUGUGUUUGUGUCCUAAUCAGAUUAGGAGUGUGUCUAUGCGUGAGUUAGUAGUGUUCAUGUGCAUGUGUGAUUCAGCGUGAGUUGUGUUCGAGUAGGACUAGUAUUCCGUAUGGUGUUGGACUGGUGCGUGUAUAUAUACGCAUGCAACCCUCUAGCUUGUAAUCAAGGUGGUGGGAUUUGAGAAAAAAAUAAAAAGAAAAUAGAAGGCACGAUACGCGCCUUUGGUCAAAUAAUUGUGUGACCAUUUCUGCCUGUGCGUCUUCAUGUCUUGAUCUUUGGGCAAACCCAACAUACACAUCUCACUAGUAGCGAUCUUAUUUUCUGGAGGUAAUGAUCUUGUUCCGGAGAACAAGUUACCAACUUUGAUAUAUAACUUUGCAUCGUUUGACGUGGUCUUGCAUUCAGCAAGAAGUUGGAGAAGGCAAAGCUAAAGCAAGCAAUGGAGAAUGUGUUGAUUCAAGAUCCAAUUCAGGAUAUUGGAUAAAUGCGAUGAUGUGUCGAAAAAACUGAGUCCGGGUCCAACAUGUUGAUGAAUACGCUCACACACUUUUUCGACAGAGAGUCAGUCAUAUUGGUUUCGGAUUUGUUCAAUUAAAAGUUACCCUUUGUGUAAUUUGGUUGUGUCCAACAAGCAGCCAAAUACCACUUUCAGAACCCUAACUUACCAUCUCGUCCUAACUUACCAUCUCAUUGAGAUAUUUGAUAAUAUGUAUAUCCACAAUUUUAGAUUGCAUCUGUUAUUUAUCAUAUUCUUGCUUGUUGUUGAAUUGUCUGCUAGAAUAGACCUUCGUAGCCAAUACAAGGCUGUUGCUAAGGCACAUGGUCGGUGUACAGCAUAGCAUGAGUUGCAUCAAUAGUUAUCCCCCUGAGCGAAAAAUCGAGAUACCUCUCAUCCUGCUGCAACUGGUAAGCUAGUUUUAAUUGAAUAGAGGAGAUGAAGGGGUUAAGUUACUCGCAGCCACACAAUGGUUACCUAAAGUGCAACUUAUCUUAUUCUAGAAUUUAGUGCAAUACGAGUGAAUUAUUUUAAUUCGGUUGUACCAAAUAUAUGGCCCACUCCGUGCCAAAAAAAAUGGCCCAUUGAAACUUUUUAUUGAUGAUGUAUAGUGCAUGAGUUGCAGGAGCAUCCUGCCCUCCUGACGAGGUCCAUCAAAAAAAUUUAGUGCAUUAAUUGUUUUAUGUUGGUUGUAGUCCUUCCAAAUAUAUGGUCCACUGAAACUUAUACCUAACUGUCUCUUCCUUUUGAAUGGAACACAGAGUAAAACGUUCUGAUGAUGCACUUACGAUCUUUCAGCUUGUCUUAAUAUGUAAAUUAUACAUGAGAGAAAAUCAUGAAAAUGUGCUGUUGUGUUCCCGAUUUGUUUUUUGUCCGGUACAGCCUACAGGACAGAAUUGCAAUUUAGAGAUCUUCUACGAGCAGUCAAGCAAGUUCACCAGCUAACGAAUUGUUCACACGGAAUGCGUGAGAUCAUAUAUUACGUGUACACAAACACAAGUCUGCUGUUUGCUAACAAGCAGAAACACGUGAAAGCGCAAAGGGGUCGAAGCUAGCAGCUGAUUGAUUUUGAUUUUGAUUCACGUUCUCUUCUUUUUUAACGGGACUUUGAUUCGCAUUAUAUAAGUUUCCUUAGUAUUGUCAUUUCACAUUCUUAAGCCAAUUGUACAUUUAUUCCGUGCUGCCUAUCCCUUCUUGUUUCUGUGUUAAAAAAAAAGGUGUAUGUUGGUCUCUGAUUGUUUAUACUCCCUCCGAUUCUAAAUUGUUGUCGAAAUAUUACAUGUAUCUAGACGUUUUUUAAGAAUAGAUACAUUUAUAUUUGAACAAAUUUGGAUCAAGAAUUUAGGAUCAGAGAGAGUAGUUAGGUAGGGCCUUCCGUCCCGACGUUGCAAAAGAAAAGGUAACCGUAACACCAUCCAAAUUAGAUUAGUCUGGAUUUUUUACACGAACAUAUUAGAAGCACUAGUCAAUUUAGUUUUUCACCCGUUGGCCUUAACUAAUUCUCUUUAAUUUGGUCUACCACCAGGAAGGAUGUAACCGUGAAUAUGUUCAUACUCAUAUUCUUGUCCCUAAUUCAUUUCUUCUAUCAAAUAUAUUCAACCUUAGAGGGAAAUCACCCGUGGUAGAUAAAUAAGCCUUCGCAAAUCAUGAUUCUUAUAGAAAAACUAUAGAAACUUCCAAUAAAUUAGUUCAAUUCCUAGAUGAUGCUCCAAAAAAGGAACAUGUGUUCCCAAUGGUUCAUACUCCCUCUCUCUCUAAUUAAUUGGCGCCGGCCUUUUUCAAAGAAAACCCUGCAAAUUUUCGAAAUAAAUGUGGACUGCGUGUUAAUUUCGAAAAUUUACAGGGAUUUUUUCAUAAAAGUUUCAAUAGAACGUGGACAGUUCAUUUCAGGAAUUUACAGAGUUUUUUUUUGCAAAAAUCCGACAAUUAAUUUGGGACGGAGGAAGUAGUAAUUUACAAAAGUUUGUGGUGAUAGGUAUGGGAAAAUCACGACCAUUUAUUGGCAGUAUUUUUUUUAUCAAUUUUGAAUUUCUUUUAAAGAUAAUUAUGUACUCCACAACCAUUAGUAUAGUGGACGAAGCUAUCUCUCUUGAGUCUUAAUUUGAGGGUCAAGGGAUCAUACAUGCUCAGACGUACAUGAAAUCUAAAAAUCUCAAUCAUCCAACUUUAAUUCAGUGAAUCAGAAAUUUAGUUAGCUCCAUGAACAAUGGUUGUUGAGCUGGAUGUUUGAUUUUCAUGCAAUAACUCUGACCAACGGAAUAGUAAAUAUUUUGAGCCAUGCCAGGUAUCGUGUGUUUUGCGAUGUUUAAGACCUGGAUGAUUUCAUUUGAAUGCAUGAGGCAUGUUUACAAUGUUUUAUUUUUAUCAUUUUUUUAUAACUUACAAGUUCCUUUGUUGAGGCUAAAAAAUGUUAAGCGGCGGCACGAUAACACGUGAUCGGUCCAACACGCAAAUGUGCAUUGCACGUAUAUGCAAAUGUACGGCUGCUAAUUCAUAAGUGUGCACUUGGCCUCCUACCGAUAUAUUUCUUUUUGUUAGUUAGUUUGUAGCACAUGAGUGCUAAAGGCAGAACAAAUUUGUGCAUGAAAAACAUUGCUAGGCUAAUUUAUAAGUGUGCAUCAUUCAGUCCUCCCUAAAGCGUGCUAAAGCUUAAAGGCGAGCACUAAAACAUGUAAAUAAUUUGUUCUCCCAUGUUCCCUACCAACAAGUUCUAGUUAUUGUUUUUUGUGUGUUUCACUUGUAAUCUUUCGGUUUGGACUCUGUCCAACCUUUUUGACAAUAAAUAGCUCGCUGCAACGUUUCGUCAAAAAAACAUGUAACUAAAUAAAUAUUUAAAAGAAAAAUGAAGUUUGGAUUUACUAUUUUCCCUGUCCAAUCCAUAAUCCAAUAAACACCCCUCCCUCCAAAAUCCAGAAUCCAUUUAUCCAUCCUUCCGCUUUGGUACGGCACCGCCGGCCACCCUCGCCGUGGCGCGCCUAUUUAACCACCUCGCGCUCUCUCCCGCGCGCCUCACUGCCUCGGCUAGUCCAAACCGCAGGCUCCCAACCAUGCAAUCCCACGCCGCCCACGCCCUCGGGCUCCGUGGCCCCCCUCCCGCGCUCCCCGGCCGCCGCCGCGCUCGCCCGUGGCGGCGCCCCGCCACGGCCGUCCGCGCCGCCGUGGCGCCGCAGAGGGAGACUGACCCGAGGAAGCGGGUGGUGAUCACGGGGCUGGGGCUGGUGUCGGUGUUCGGGAGCGAAGUGGACGGCUUCUACGACCGGCUCCUGGCCGGGGAGAGCGGGGUGCGGACUAUCGACCGGUUCGACCCCGGCAGCUUCCCCACGAGAUUCGCCGGGCAGAUACGGGGGUUCUCUUCGGAGGGGUACAUCGACGCCAAGAACGACCGGAGGAUGGACGACUGCAUCCGGUACUGCAUCGUCAGCGGCAGGAAGGCGCUCGAGAGCGCCGGGCUCGACAGAGGCUCCGACGCGCACGGCAAGGUGAGUGAGAAUGUGAGAUGGAGUGUGACGCGACUCCUUGCCUCUGACUGAACUACUUCUCGGUUUCGUUUCGUGCGGGCAAUAUCAGAAGAGUGGACUCCUGACUCUUGAGUUGAAAUUGAGUUCAAUUCCUGUUUGAUGUCUUUUAUCCUCCAAAUAGGAAGAAUUGGUCUUCUUUAUCGUAGUUAGUCUGUAGGAACACGUUAGAGUUCACAUUUUCCUCCGGUAAGAUUCCGAUUGGCAUUUUGUUUAGGAACACGUUAGAGUUCGCAUUUUCCUCCGGUAAGAUUCUGAUUGGCAUUUUGUUUAGGAACACGUUAGAGUUUACAUUUUCCUCCGGUAAGAUUCUGAUUGGCAUUUUGUUUUAGUGAGAAACUCACAUGUGAAUUCGAUGCAUUAUAUAGCAAUGGCAUAUGUUAUGUUUGGGUCCUUCGGUGUCAAUUUUUCCUCCCUGAAAGGCCUGCCUGGUGCCACAUACCAGUGUAGAAUUCACUUUCAGGACAUUAUAUGAUUUAUGAAAGAAUGAAGAUUGUGUUAUUUGUGUUUGGCUGGAAAUGGAAAUGAACUGUGUAUGUCUGUAUGAACCUUUUUGGAUUUAUGCAUGAUCUCAAAUUCUGCAUUCAAUCUUUGCAUCAUUGCUAUCAGAUAUUCAAAAUACUUGGAUGGUGUCCCUACAAAGACAUGGAAAUUGAAACUAAAUUGUUCACGCAAUGGCAACUGUACUGGUGGUCAACAGAAAAAAAAGGUCUAACUGAAUCUUGGUUUGAGAAAAAAGGAUAAAUUUGAUCUUAUUGCUAGCGAGAUUAUGUUAGUUUGUAUUGUUUCCAAAAUUUAUUUGUCUUGGUACAAAACUACAAAACGACUUGACAACGGAAGAAAAUCAAGAAAGAUACUCCUUAUGUCUAAAACCAUGACAAGAAUUAUGGGACGGAGGGACUAAAAUUGAGUGAUUUGAUAUCAACUAUGGUGUGACCUUUUUUAUACUUACGUGACACUACUUACUGUAUAAGCUAAUAGAGUACUGCAGGUGAACUGCCUUAAAAUCUCUGUGUGCAUGUACAAGUUCAACUUCAGUCAUCUGCCUCAAACACUUUUUGCCCUGUUUCGAGAAAAGGGGAUAAAUUGGCUUAUUGGAGCGAGAUUAUCUCAGUGUGUAUUGUUUCCAAAAUUUAUCUGCCUUAGUACAAAAUGACUUGACAACGGAAGAAAAACAAGAAAGACAAAAUUGAGUGAUUUGCUAUCGACUAUGGUGUGAAACUAAUUUUGUACUUACGUGACACCACUUACUGUAUAAGCUAAUAAGUGUCGCUGAUUUAUCAGCGACACUUAUUAUGGAUCGGAGAGAGUAGAUCACUACAGACGAACUGAUUUAAAAUCUCUGUGAGCAUGUGCAAGUUCAAUUUCAGUCAUCUGCCUCAAACAGUUUUUGCUCUGUUUCUUUGUUUUCAUUUGCUGUAUCUUAGCAUUUUCUUUUUUGGGUGUGUUUUUUUCUGUGUGUUUGGUCUUUGCCAUCACUGUGGCUUGUAAGUCUUGACUAUUGAUGCUUCUGAGUUUUUUCUUCUAAUACAAAUGACGUGCAUUCAGGCGCACGUUCGAGAAAAAAAUCAUCCCCUCUUGACACAUGUUUGCAGACCUUAGAACAUAGCACUUGUUUCUAACCAUAAUCAAUUGUUGAUUGCAAUAACCAAUCAUCCCAUUUUUCCGGAGUUGAACUAUCAAUUCAUUUGAUGAUCCCUUAUGUGAUUGAUUAAGCUGCUUGUUGCUUCUGACCAUGUAGCCUGUUAAUUGGUGGCAACCAUAAUUUCUUUACCGCAGUAAAUUCUUCGGUGUUCGUUUCCCCCCAUUUUGAAACGUCUUUUUCGCUAACUACGUCAUUAUGUACAGAUUGAUCUAGGGCGGGCUGGUGUUCUUGUGGGAACUGGCAUGGGUGGCCUUUCAGUGUUCUCCAAUGGUGUUCAGAACCUUAUUGAGAAGGGAUAUAGAAAAAUUUCACCAUUCUUUAUCCCAUAUGCUAUAAGUAACAUGGGCUCAGCUUUGCUUGCUACGGAUGUUGGUUUCAUGGGUCCCAAUUACUCAAUUUCAACUGCAUGUGCAACCUCCAACUACUGCUUUUAUGCUGCUGCGAACCAUAUUCGUCGUGGUGAGGCUGAUGUUAUCGUUGCUGGUGGAACUGAAGCAGCUAUCAUUCCAAUUGGCCUUGGAGGUUUUGUGGCCUGUAGAGCACUAUCACAACGGAAUGAUGACCCAGAAACUGCAUCUAGGCCAUGGGAUAAAGAGCGAGAUGGCUUUGUUAUGGGUGAAGGUGCUGGUGUACUGGUAUGCGUUGUCGAUUAACAAAAUAGCGUUUUUGAAUACUGAUACAAUGUCAAGAAUUAUCUUAAUCGUUUGAUUUCCUUCUUUUGAAUGUGAUGUUUGCUUCAGGUUGUUCUUUCAUGUCCCAGUGCCCCACAAGGCUACCAUGAAUUUCAGUCAUCUUUCAGAUAUACUACUAACAUUAUUAUUUAUCCACUUGUGUCACUUAAACAUUGAAGCUCUUGUUCAACAAUAGGUUAUGGAGAGCCUGGAGCACGCUAUAAAGCGUGAUGCACCAAUAAUUGCUGAAUACUUAGGAGGUGCGGUUAACUGUGAUGCUUACCAUAUGACCGAUCCAAGAUCAGAUGGAUUGGGUGUAUCAUCCUGUAUUGCAAAGAGUCUAGAAGAUGCAGGUGUUGCGCCAGAGGAGGUAUCUCUACAAUUCAUGUUGCAGCCUUUUUUUUUAUCCUGGCAGCUUUUCUCAAAGUUCUCCUAUUCUAAUAUCAUAAGUCAAAAUAUUGGUCUAACUGUAAGGUAGAUUGACAUUGUCAUCUGGAAAACAAUUGGCAAGAUGCCCUUUCUUACUAUGCUAGUUGGGUGCAUUUUGAAACAAAAUCUUUGGUGAUUAGAAUAAAUAUCACUAGUUUAUUUUUUAUAAACUCAGUGUUGUCCUGCUUAGGUAUACUUCUAGGUGUGUCCUUUUUCCGGUACUCUUUUUUAUUCUUAAUGCAGAUUAGCAUUCAGCACCUUUUGAUUCCUUUCAUUUCGUUUCUAGGUGAACUACAUCAAUGCACACGCAACUUCUACACUUGCUGGUGACUUGGCUGAAGUAAGAGCCAUCAAGCAAGUCUUCAAGAAUUUGUCGGAGACUAAGAUUAAUUCAACAAAGGUUUUCUCACUUCCACAAGGAAUAUGUCAUUUCAUCAUUUCAUGGUUGCUCCCUUAUCCGAUGUUACUUCCUUUCCUGCCAGUCUAUGAUAGGACAUUGCCUGGGCGCAGCUGGUGGGUUAGAAGCUAUUGCCACUAUCAAAUCCAUAACCAAUGGAUGGGUCCAUCCUACCAUUAACCAAUUUGUAAGUAAUCUUUAUCCUUUUUCAAUCUCCUUAUCGGGCCCUAUGGUGCUUUGUACUUCGUACAUGUUGACAAAGUUCAAGGCAGAAGUAUUACUGGCAAGAGUUUAACAUUCUGUUUUACCUACUUUGAGUUAACGGCAUAGGUUAAUAACUUAUUUAAGUUUCAACACCAUCCAUGUUUCUUACAAUUCACAAGUUGUCGGCGUCAGGAGGUGACCAAUUAAAAGAAAACAAAAUCCAGUGCAUUCUUGCAAUAUACUACUACUCCCUCCGAUCCAUAAUAAGUGUCUAAGAUUUAGUACAAAGUACAAAGUUGUACUAAGUCUGAGAUGCUUAUUAUGGAUUGGAGGGAGUAACUUUAAGUGUCAGGAUGGAAGACAAAAGCUCAUUUUACAAACUUCCUGGUUUAUUUAUUGUCACAUGCUCUGAGAGUUUCUCAUGUUUCAAAUUGGUACUCUUUUAUAGAACUCAGAGCCUGAAGUUGACUUUGAUACAGUAGCUAAUGAAAAGAAGCAGCAUGAAGUGAAUGUUGGUGAGUUUUUCCAUCCCUGCACAACAGUUCAUUCUGAACAACGCCUCGCUCCAGGCCUGCUCUCUCUUGAACGGGGUAACGGGGCACAUCUUGAUGGCCACUUGUUCAUCAAACAGAACUCAAGAAAUUUACCAUCCCUUUGUGCACAGUCCUCUUCCUAGGUCCUUUUAUCUUAAGCAUGUUUGCUGUCUUUUGAAUGCAGCCAUUUCCAACUCAUUUGGAUUUGGAGGGCACAAUUCGGUGGUAGUAUUCACGCCGUUCAAGCCAUGAUUUGCCUUAGCUUCCAAAACAUACAACCCGGCACGUGACAUUCUCUCGUGGCUGAUAAUUUAGCAAGGAGAAUGCCUUUAUGUAGCAUGCUUGAUUUUAUACCGGCUUUUGUUCGCCUUCAAGGAGCAAGUUUUGAUGAUUGCUUGAGCCGUUGUUUAUACGAUUAUUCUUUCGGGUGCUCCCCGAUUCCUCGUGUGUACAGUGUUGUAAGAAACUGGAACAUUGUAAAGAAUCCUCAGUAAUUUCUAAUUUGGUUAUAUAGUUUGAUAGUUUCUCCGCCGUUCUUCCCCUUUCUUGUGCUACUUGUCGUAGACCAAGGCCAUGUUUGGUACACAUGAAUAAAAACACGGGAAUAGGAGGAAACAUAGGUAGUAGGAAUGUAGGCGUACAAGAAGGAUUCCCAUUUGGAACGCCGGAAAAGAAUUGCAUGAAUUUUCCUUGUGCAAAUUAAAACUACAUUUUCUUGACAUUAUAGAUGUUUUCGGUUUAAGUUUUAGGUCUCAUGUACUACUGUACGUACUUAAUUAGCGUUUCAUUUUUUUGUUAUGAAUGACAAACGCUGAUGGGGAAGAUCCAUCAGAGAACAUGGAUGGACACACAAGUUUUUCCUAAGAAGAUACUCUUUCCGUCCACAAAUAAGUGUACUUUUAGAUUUGUCCUAAGUCAAAGAUAUCAAAGACCCAUUUUCUUGGAAAACGUAGCAACAUUUACGACACGAAAUUAGCAUCAUUAGAUCCCUUUUGAAUGUAGUUUCAUAAUAUACCAAUUUGAUUUCAUAUGUGUUGUUACUUUUUUCAACAAAGUUGAUCAAAGUUAAAAGAAAUUAACUCAGGACAAAACUAGAUGUACAUUUAUUUGUGGACGGAUGAAGUAGGCGGCACACUUCAUCCAUUUAUUAUCUGACAUCCUGUGGCUUCUAUAUCCUCUCCACAGAAAGGGUGAGCUCCAUUUGAGUCCUUUGAGCAUCCGGACAGCGGUGGUCUGCUUAUUGCUACGACUUUUCUCUUAGGGCAUGUACAAUGGUUGAUAAAAACCACAUUCUUAUGUGUUCCACGUCAUUUAGAUAAGACAUCAAAAUGUGUUGUACAAUAAAUCAUCUCUUAGUGCCUUAUCUUAUUUUGAAAUGUAAUUUCAUAAUAUACCGAUUUGAUUUCAUAUGUGUUGUUACUUUUUUCAACAAAGUUGAUCAAAGUUAAAAGAAAUUAACUCAGGACAAAACUAGAUGUACAUUUAUUUGUGGACGGAUGGAGUAGGUGGCACACUUCAUCCAUUUAUUAUCUGACAUCCUGUGGCUUCUAUAUCCUCUCCACAAAAAGCGUGAGCUCCAUUUCGAGUCCUUUGAGCAUCCAGACAGCGGUGGUCUGCUUAUUGCUACGACCUCUCUCUUAGGGCAUGUAUAAUGGUUGAUAAAACCACAUUCUUAUGUGUUCCACGUCAUUUAGAUAAGACAUCAAAACGUGUUGUACAAUAAAUCAUCUCUUAGUGCCUUAUCUUACAAUUAAUGUCUAGAUGAAUAAAAUUAAUCAAAUAAAUGUUAAGAAAAGGCGAAAUCUAGUACAAUGAGUAAUUUGCCUUUUCUUUGUCUUAUCCUUCUUGUGAAAAGAUCAUCUCUUAGCUAAGAGAAGGCUAAUGUCUUUCUUCACCUCUCUCUUCCACAAUCAGCAAUUAUCCUACGUGGCAGGCUUAAAAAAAAGUUGACGUAAUCCCAUUGUACGCGCCCUUAUGGUUAGAUCACAGGCAAUACAGUUGAACGAACGAUCUUCUUCGCUGUUGGUUAGGACAUUCUCAACAUCUAUUACUUUGACCAUUAUUAAAGAGAAACGAACAUUUUAUUUCACCACUGCUAUAACAAAAUCCCCAAUAGUGCUAUUAAGAGCCGGUAAUUAGAUAGAAAAAGCAAUAAAUUCAUGUAAGAGCGUGGAACCAAUAAAGUAAAUGUUUAGCAACAAAGAGUUUUUUCAACAAGUAUUUUCUUGUUACUUAUGACUUGACAUGAAAAGUCAAAACGAUUUCUUAUACUCCAUCCAUCUGUUUCUUAUGACGUAUUUUUUUCGGCGUCUUUGACCAAGAAUUAGUCUAUUAAUAUUUUUUAAUGAAAUAAAAUUGAUAUCAUUGAUUUGUAUUCAAAAUUACUCCUUUCGUCUGAUAUUAAGUGUCGCAACUUUGUCUAGACUAGCAUCACCAACGGAAAAAAUCCGCAGAUAACAAGAACAACAUAAUAGUUAGAUUAUGGAACAAUGCCAGUAAAUUCUACCUAAGCUUUGUUGGAUUUGAACUAUGAACACAAUCUCAUACAAAUUGGAGAGUAAAGGUAGAAUGAGAAGAUCGAGUGGAGGAAGUGUUAGUGUUGGGGCCUAGGAGGAACUGUUAUUGUUUGUUUCUCUAACCCGCAGGUUUGCAUGGUCCAACUUGCCCCGAGUGAGAAGAGAAAUAUUAGGAAAGAGUGAACCCAUGUCCACUGACUCCAAACUCUUUAUAAGUAGAGUUGCACACUUUAUACAAGACGGAGAAAGUACUUUUGUUUAUGUUACUAGCUAAAUGCACGUGAGUUGCUACGGAAUUAAAAGUUUGUGUUACAUACAUGAGUUGUUUUAAAUAUUUAUAUGUUCAUAUUUUCCAACUUUAUGCUAAAUACAAAUUCUCUGAAAGUAUUUAUUUGAGAAAACAAUUAUCUCAAAAGUAGACAUCAAACCAAACCAACUACAAUAAAAAAAAUUGAUACAUAUUUAUAUCACAUUGAAUGGGUUGCAAUCAAGUGGUUAUCUAACAAACUAGAGAAUAGUCUAGUCUCAACAGGGGUGGUUGACGACCGUCAACUCGAAUCUUUAUAAGUGUAAAAAUGAUUUGCAUCACAUUUGUCAUACGUUGACGAGUAAUUCUUGGUCAAAUGCUCGUUCAGAAAAAAUAAAAUACUCCUACGUCCUAUCUUAUUUUAAGAAACGGAGUGAGUGAGUACAAUGAACCGACAGUACUUCACUUUUUCGUUGUUUUUCUUUUUCGCAUCAUAAAAAAUCUUUGGUGACACACUCUUUAGCAACAAGUGACAUGCAUCGUCAGAUAUGCCGUCACAAAGUGCCAUUUUCGAAAAGACGAGGUACGGGAUCAAGCAAGCAAAUGAAAAGUGCGAAGCGACUCAAUGGAGGUAUGGACUGGCGCAAAAGAAAAACGGAGUAGGUACGGAAACGUCGCUCGUUAAUACGACUAAUCACCACACGGAAAGUCGGAAGUCGGAAAAUACAAUUCCUCGUGCCGCUCAGUAUCCAUCAGAAUUCAGAAGUGCUGCGCGUUGGUUUUCCGGCCGGACAGGAGAGGAGACUCGAUUCCGACUCCUCCCAGCGAUGCAAUGCAAUGCAAUGCCAAUGGGUGGAAAGUGGCGAACGGUCUUCCUUCCUGCCUGCCGGCCGACGCGUCAGGCUCCAGGAAGCCCAAAAAUAUCCCCACCCCACCGCCGGCCGCUUUCUCCGACCCGACCCGCCUGAGCCCAUCCUCGUUCCGGCCUGGCCCAAGUCAACCCGCCCCGCCGAGCCCCAACCGGAUUCCCCCCCUCCUCAAAGCACCGCCGGCACCGCCGCUCCACCACCAUCGACCCCAAACCAGAUCGGGUCUCCUCGAUUUCCCCUCAGAUCCCCGAUCCGAUCCCUCCCAGAUCCGCGGCGCCCAUGGACGACGACGACGUGCACGGGGACGUCUCCCCGUCGCCCACGCCCUCGCCGACCUCCUCCUCCCCGCUCCCGGUCGCCUCCGCGCUCCCCGUCGCCGACCCCGUCACGGUCGCCUCCGCCCCGCCCGGCGGCGGCCUCAUGACGCUCGCGCUCCCGAUCCAGAAGCACGGGGUCUAUCCCAGCCACGGCGGCGGCGGCGGCGGCGGCGGUGGGAGGGAGGACGCGUGGAGCGAGGGCGCCACCUCCGCGCUCAUCGACGCAUGGGGGGAGCGCUUCGUCGCGCUCGGCCGCGGCAGCCUCCGCCACCCCCAGUGGCAGGAGGUCGCCGACUCCGUCUCCGCCCGCGAGAGCUACUCCAAGGCCGCCAAGUCCGACAUCCAGUGCAAGAACCGCAUCGACACGCUCAAGAAGAAGUACAAGAUCGAGAGGGCCAAGCCGGUCUCGUCCUGGCAGUUCUACGACCGACUCGACGUGCUCCUUGCGCCCACCUACAACCAGAAGCCAUCCGCCCAUCCUAACGGAAGGAACCCGGUGCCCACAGCGCUGCGUGCCGGCUUUCCCAAGCGCAGCCGCACGCCCCUUAUGCCCGCGGCGGCGCCUGUCAAGCAGAGGGCGCCGUCUCCGGAGCCGUCAGCGUCGUCCGAGUCUUCGGAUGGGUUCCCGCCAGAGCCGGUGCUCCCGGUGGCGAACGGGAAGAGGAGGAGGACAGACGAAGGUCGUGGGGACGGCAGCAGCGGCAAUGACCGCGUGCAGGGCCUGCGGGAGCUAGCGCAGGCGAUACGGCGCUUCGGCGAGGCAUAUGAACGCAUGGAGACAGCGAAGCUGGAGCAGGCUACGGAGAUGGAACGCCGGCGCCUGGACUUUGCGCGUGAGCUGGAAUCGCAGCGUGUACAGUUCUUCCUCAACACGCAGAGGGAGCUGUCGCAGGCCAAGAAGCACAACUCUCUGGCUGCCGCGGCUUCCCUGGCUGGUGCCACCAUUGUUGGUGGUUCAUCUAGGAGAAUCGCAUCGAUUCCAGAUCCCACCAGUAGGAGAAAGACAUCGGUUCCUACUGUCAGGACGAGCAGCAAUCACCAUGGCCGCUACCACAUUAGCGAGUCUAGCAGGCACCAACAUCAUCAGCAUCGCCCUGCCCCACGGCCACAUUAUCAAUACCAUGACAAUAAUUUUGCUGCUUCUGCAGCUGCCAAUGAUGGUGAGCAGAGCGAUGAUGAAGAGGAGGAGGACGAGGGCGAUGAAGAAGAGAGCCAGUGAUGCACUGAAUAAGAAACCAUGGCGCUGGUGGCUCAUUGUGGUCAUUGAAGAAUUUGUAUUGGUAUUGCCCUAGAGUUGAGCAACCUAUCUUAUAUCGAAUGCAAGCAGAAACUAUGUCUAGGCAGUACAUUAUCGGCAACUGUUUAUCUAAGUGAGCAGUAGGAGUAUUAUUAAUUAGUAGGCGUAGUUAUGAUAAGCUCACUCUACCUGUACCAUGUGUUAGCCACAUACUUUCAUGUUUCUUUCUGCCCGUUACAAGAACCUUUCUCUGAUCUGAUCUCAUUUGUGCCAAGAAUUGUGAAAUCUUUCCUAAAGGUUGUGACAUGUAAGGCUGUGCCAGUGCUUGCAGUCUGUGUUAAAGCAUCAGCACCCUGAACUAUGCGUUAAAACUGUUCGCUAGGACUGGUUGAAGUCACCAAUGUUUAGUAUGUUUUAUGAAGAUUGCACACGCUGUUGUGCUUUGCCUUUUGUAGAAUGUGAAGUCUGGAGUACGUGAGGUUUGCUCUUUCAGGAUCAGGUUCAGGUGGUGCCGCGUGCUAUGCCUUGGUAGCGGGUGUGUGCAGAAUCUGAAGGAUCCUUUUUUAACUUGAAUCUGAACGAUUUGUGCAAGUGCAAUCAAUUAACGUCCAUCAAUUAUUAAUCAUAAAAAGGGAAAGGUUCUUCUGCGUGGAAAAGAAACACAGGUAACCUAGGAAUCUAAUUGCUCUGGGAAGUGAUUCCUUGCCUGUUUGUUUCUGCAUUUGGCGUGGCUGAGUGACCCAUAUGACGAUGUCACUACCUACACAAAGCAAACAUGUUGCUUUCUUUCCAGGAGAGCCAGUCAGUCCAAGCGAGCAACGUUGGCCUGUUUGCUUUGCGGCUUGUGCUCUUUGGAUGGUGUCCAAAGUCUUCCUUACUAAUUUUCUAACCAAAAUUUGGUGUUUGCUAAGAUGGUGGUCAACUUUUUGGCAUACCAAAUUACCAAUGUUUUAUCAAUUCUAGCUCAUUUUUCUUGCCAAAGUUGGUCAACUAAUGGAUGACCAAAAUUUAAGCCAAGUUACCUGUUUUAUCUUGCAGGAACAAGUGUGCGUUAUAAGUUUAUUUUGGCUCCUUUAUCUGAUGAUGUAUAAUCUUCUGUCCUAGCUAGUACUGCCUCUUUUCAAUAUCUAAGCUACAGGUUCUGCUUGUGGCAACCUGAAGAUUUAAGCAUCAUAAUUGAAAUUAUAAGGUACAUACUGUCUCGUAUACCUUUAUUUUUCCAAGGACAACCAAACAGCCAAUGGUUGUUGGGUUCUUGCCCAAUUGCUAGACACAGAAGUCUCCAUGUGUGUGAGUUCUAGAUCAUUUCUAGCUUAGAUCUCAUAACAUGAUUAUGUAUGCCAUAUUCAUAAGUGUGUGCCAAACAGAAGAAUUGCAGAUUACAAUUAAAAUCCGUCAACACAUAAAACGAAAGUCCUCCAGUUUUAUUGAUUGAACAAGCCAGAAAACAAAGAAGAAUUCAAGGAUUACUACUGCUAGUGCCGCCUGGCCUCAGCUGGAGCUGAGAAAGCAGCACAUUACGGCUCAACAACUACCUCGAUGUAGAUCCAGAAUUUGUGGAAAACAGAACAUGUUAGUAGUUUGCCAUGCAUCCAUUAUAAGCUGCUCUAGUUGGUUAAAGUAUCACAGUCUAUUUGUCGAAAACAGAGCACGUCGGAGUAGUUAAACGAUUAGUUCAUGAACAGGCAUGAUGGUCUUGGCAAAAUAUGAUGUAAGGAAGCAAUUCAGAAAAUGACAAUGGAGACGCGGGGAAUCGAACCCCGUGCCUCUCGCAUGCGAAGCGAGCGCUCUACCAUAUGAGCUACGUCCCCAUGUUUAUUGGAAGGCAGCGCCAAUUUUUAUAAACUCAGUACGCAUAUCAUGUGUCACAUUGGAAAUCAACUCUUCCGACUGCUAACACUCAAUAACCACAUGUCCAUAUGUGAUGUGCCUAUACCUCACGCAAACCACGUUAGUUUUUUGAGAUAGCAAAUUUUUAGUCUCCCUUCUUUGGAUUGAAGGAUUUUCAAAAAAUCUUCAUUUUUUAGUUGAUAGAUACAGCUGAUUAAUUGCUACUCCGAAUCAUGCAUUACAUACAGUACCAUAGUUAUUGAAAAACAAAGACAUUACAAUAGAAACAAUAUCAUAGCAUUUCACUUAGUUCUGCACGUGGCAAAUGAAUAGGUGAUGAUCAUCAGAUUUUAACAUCAUUUUACAGAACAUGCAACACAAGUAGUAAGAAACGUCAAGAAAAAGUGUGAAACACAGCCAACAAAAAUAACUGGGCAAACUUACACACCAUUGUACAGGCCCAACAGGUACAACACACACAGUGUAGCAACUGCUAAUAUAAACUUGGCUUCUCAAACUAAAGUUGGUGGAAGAUCGGCGCACCAAACCGAACCCAAAUCGAGGACAGACAUGGGCUAGUCUGUUUGCCAAGAAAAGAACAUGGUGUCAUAAAACUGUCAUUAGGAGCAACUGAGUGAGUUGCAUUCUUCUCAAUUGGUGGGAGGUUCACCUUGCACAAUAGUGUACAAAUGAAAUUGCUGCUGUCGUACAAUAACUAUAGUCUGCGGGUAGCUGGCUCUAAAUCAUUUCCCAAAGCUUAUUGCAGAUCUCAACUGGUAGUGUUGUCUUCUCAAACUCGAACUUCUCUAUCUUUUUCCUGUUCUUAUCAACAAUAUCUUAUCAAAACUAAGGAUCAACACAAUUUUAUUGGCUAUAAGACAAAGGUACUAGUGAAAUACUGAAAUGCAAAGAGAAAACAGCAGAAUAGUGGUGUAUUUAAUGUGCAUAGGUAGGAACUGAUCUCCUUGAGUAGAAAAAAAAUAGUAACAUAUUGAAAGGAUACAUCCAGAUAUCUUAUCCUGAUCUUCAAAAUCUGGCAUGAUAUUUGUAACUGACACACACAUGGAAAGCAUACUUCUGCACAAAAAUGUAGUGGGUCAACUUAAGUGAGAAAUAUGAUAACCAGCAUAAGCAACACUGCAGAAUCCCAUUUGAUAUUAAAUUAGGCAUCAUUCAUCUAAAUAUUGAGGGGGAUUUGCACUAAAUUGUGCUGGAGAAUCUCUGAAAGUCAACGACUGGAGAUCAAUGGAAGAAAGAGGUCAGAGGAAAGAUAAAGGAGUACCAUUAUCUAAAUUCAAAAUUCAGUAACAAAUCACAAUUGUAGAUAUGACUUGAAUCCCGAUCUCAUAUAAUGACGAAUAUCAAAUGCAUUACCACGCAGAACUUCUUAUUGGCAAUGGACAUCCUACUACUAGUUAUAUGGUACAGUCAGUUUGACAAGAUGAGACUUCCUCAUUAAAGUCAUCACCCAUGUAGUUUUCUCACUGAUGGUCUGUGUACAAUUACUAAAGGAAAAUGCAGUGACAUGUAAUCAUAACAAAGAGAACAAUUAUUGACUUACUGUGCCUUCAGCAUGUCUUUCUCCUUCUUCUUGACAGCGCCUCUCCUUUCUUCUAUAGAAGCUCUUUGAAGGUCUAGGCUAUCAAGCUCCUUACUUAUUGCUGUGUUAACACCAAGAAUUGAGUUAGCAAUCCAACUUAGUGCAACAUUUCAGAUGUUGCCGAUGCUCCACUAGGAACUUAUCUUAAGUCUUGGCGAAGCUGUUGCUCAUUCUGGAGUUUCUCUUCCAUCUCAUUUUGCAGCGCGCUCAGUUUUUCAUCAGUAACUGUUUCAGCUGUUGCUUUGUCCAACUUUUCCUCCAAGGAGUUUAUUUUUUCCUGAUACUCUAUUGUGCAAAAGAAGCAUUUCAUUAAGAUGGCAAUAUUUCUCCGUUGUUAAAAAAAUGUUUGAACCCUCAAAAUUUAUUGUCAAACAGUAAAUCGUUAAGUUUUUUGCACACCACUCACGCAAUUUUUGUACUCCGUAUUUCGUUUGCAUAACAGGUGCCUGAACAAAUGGUUUUUUUUUUGAGGAAAAUGAACAAAUGGUUGUAAAGUAUUACUUCAGUCCUUUAGGUAUGCAAGUGUUGCAAUGCUAUUCUAGUUGAAAACUCCCUUGAAGUAGUUUACUCCCUCCGACCCAUAUUACUAGUCAUUUAAUAAAAAGUUGUACUAAACCAGUGACAAGUAAUUCCGGCCGGAGGGAGUAGAUGAUUUACUCUGAUUCUGGUUUGCCUUACGCCCUUUUAAUUUAAAAAUAAGUCCUUUUAUGCAAUAUUCUACCAUGCGUACUCAAAUUAACAGUGGGAUCGAGCACAUUACCCUAAAUCCUCCGAACUGAACAUGAACACUUAAUCAGACGGGGAGUACCGAGACGCACGAAGCGAAAUUUCAACAGCGCAGAAGGGACUAAACCUUUUACUUGGAGCUCGAGGUCGCCGGACUCGGAGCGGCAGGCGGAACGCAGCAACCGCGCCCCGUCACAGGCCUGCGCGAGGGCUUCGCCGUCCUUGCUGCCGCGGAGCACCCCGACGAGGUCGUCGGCGAGGGCAAGGAGGUUAGCAACCUCCACCCGUCUACCAGCAUCUGCCCCCAUCGGGGAGGCGACGGCCGAAACCCUAACCUCUGUCGCUUCAACAAGCCGCGAACUGGAGAAGAGAGAUGGGAUGGGGUCUGAUGGGGUCCGUAGGUCCGACGGGGACUAGGGAGGGAGGACGUUGGUUACCGUAUGCUCGCUGCCUCGCUUCGCCGUCGUUUGUGCGCCGCCGGUGCUUCCGGGGGAGGAGACGAUGGCAGGUGUUUGGCCGGUGACCGCGUGAGAGCGCAAGGGAUUUGAAUUUGGCUUCGAAGUGGUUCGCGAAUCGCGAGUGCGGUGCGGGUCUGCGGGACCAACAAUAGGCCGAGUUGAUCUCGAAUUUCCUCCAAUUCAGGCCCUGUUUGGAACAAAGGUCAGGACAGGAAAAAUACAGGAUUUCACGUGGCAUACAUCUCGAAUCCUAUAGAAACUAGAAACAUAGGAUUGAAGAAAAAACUCAUUUGGAACACAGGAACAGGAAAAAGGAUAGGAAUUGAGCAAAGAAAAAAAGAUGGCAAAUUUAUAGUGCACAAACAUUGAUAGUGUGGAGUACUGGGGCAAGUUAACUGUCUUUUUAUCUUGUUUCUGUUAAGAUAGACGGUGAACUCCUUGGAUAAAUAUUCUCUUCCAUUAUCAGUGCGUAGGCAUUGCGUCUUAUACUCGAAUUCACCUUCUAUCAUAUCCUUAAACUCCUUAAAUUUCAUAAAGGUUUCAGACUUCUCUUUCAUAAAGUAUACCCAAACGUACCUUGAGAAGUCGUCGAUGAAGGUCACCAUGUAUCUCAUGCCUCCAACUGAUAUUUGCUUGACUGGGCCAAAUACAUCUGAGUGUAUGAGCUCCAAAGGUACCUUUGACUGAUGCUGCGACUCCUUAUAUGGCAAUUGAUGGGCCUUGCCAUACUGACAUCCAGCACAGACCGUGUAUGUAUGGAUAUCUAGAUCUGGAAGCCCCUUCACUACGUGCUUCCCCAUCGUCUCUUUUAACUUGUGGUAGCUGACGUGCCCAAGCCGCGCAUGCCAAAGAUCAGCUGUCUCAUUCUUCCGAGUCUUGUCUACGUAUGCUGACUCAGCAGAGAGCACAAAGAGCGAGUCUCUCCUUUUCCCUUCCAUAAUAGGUGUGCCGAUCACCUUGAGCCUUCUGAAUAUUGCUACUUCUUGUGGUCCAAAAAGAACAUACUUCCCUUCUGCUGUCAGUUGAGAUACUGACAACAGAUUCUUCUUCAAGCCCGGGACAUGAUAGACUCUCUCAAGUUGGAACUGUUGAGGGCCAUACCUUGGAACGGUUGUCUUUCCAACAUGCGAGAUUGAUAGCUUGGAGUUGUUAGCUGUCAACACCAUUUUUCCUCCCUUGUACUCGGUCAUGUCUUGCAACUUGUUGUCAUCAUUAAUCAUAUGGUUGGAGCACCCAGAAUCAACGAUCCAAUCAUCUUUGUACUUGAUUUUUGGAUCCUUGAUUGCUGCAAGAGCUGGCACCUCCAUGUCCUCCUCCUCCAACUCUUUUUCAUCUGUUGCAAAGACCGGUGGCUCCAUGUCUCCCUCCAACUCCUCUUCAUCCAUUGCAAGGGCUGGUACCUCCAUGUCUUCCUCCAAGUCUUCUUUGUCAACCUCUUGAGAGUAUCCAGCUUCGGCGUCCCAUUCUUCUUCACUCAUGGAUGCUUCUAGAGUGAUUUUCUCUUUCUCCUUUGUGGUGGCCACAUUCCCUUCAUAGCGCCUUCUUGGAAAUCGACAUUCUCGAGUAAGGUGACCUUUCUUACCACAAUUGGAGCAUCCAUCAUUUGACCUCCUUGGAAAUCGGCAUUCUCGAGCAAAGUGACCUGCUUUGCCACAAUUGAAGCAUCCAUUACUUGGCCUCCAUGAAUUCUUCUCGUUCCAUUUUGGACCUUCUCUUUCUCGUUGGUCUCCCCCUGAAGAGUUGCUUCCCUCCCUUGUAUGUUCUUUCCCACCUUCUGUCCACUUAGGCUUGGGCUUCCAUUGUUUUUGGUAUGGGCUCUUCUUCUUUGUGAAAAGUGCCUCCUCUUCUUCCUUUAUGGUGAUGCUCCCCAUCUUCUUGGCUAGCUCCUCUUGAUUUACUAAUAAAUUCUCCAACUCCACUACUAACGGUGGAGUAGGCCAUCCCAUCACCGCAGUCAUAAACCCAUUAUAUUCGGGUCUAAGACCAUGGAUGAUGAUUCUCUUCAUCCGAGCCUCGCUCACCUUCUCAUCCGGGGCAAGUUGGGAUAUCUCACGGCAAAUAAACUUCACCUUCGAAAAGAACUGACUGAUAGAUAGAUUGCCUUGUGAGAUACCUGUGAGUUCAUUUUCCAAGAGCUGGAGCCGCGCUUCAUUCUUCCUCGAGAAUAGCUUCGCCAAAGUCUCCCAGGCCUCCUUAGGUGUCUUCUCAUCACGGAUGUGCUCCAAUAGAUCCUCUUCGAUGGUCAUCUUCAGUACGAACAUGGCCUUCCCUGCCUUGAUCUUCCAUUUCCGCAAGGCAUCGGCAUUUUCUGAAGGAAAUGCUUCAGUGCCCGCAACGACCUCCCAUAAGUCCUGACCUUGUAGGUAGGACUCCAUGCAGGUCUGCCAAUAGCCAUAGUUGUGGCUAUUAAGCUUCCUGAUCCCGCUGCUUGAGCUAGCAAGAUCCGCCAUGGUGACUUGCGCCCAGCGUCAAGUAAGCUUUGGUCCCGGACCAGCUUCACAGUCCCAGACUGUGCACCGGCAGAAUCUCCCCUCAGCGCCUUCUUGUUGCACCGAACAAUGUAAGCACCCCAUGCUCACAACUCUUCCUCCAAAUGACAGUGCCGGACCGCCUUGCUCUGAUACCAAACUGAAGGGUUUUUGAGGUGGACCUAACCCACUACGAGAGGGCCUAUUCACCUAUACCAACUACUAGAGGGUGUUGUUGGUUAGUUCCUUUUUAUUUCUACUUAUUUAGUGCAAGCUUCCGGGCGGCAGAGCCACUCACGUUAAAGCAAGUCUUGAAUCCGGACGGCUAUGCCACUCACGUUGAAACAAGACCGUUGUGAUUCCGGGCGAAUCCGCUCACGUUAAAUCACAACUUAAACGCACUAAGUACUUAGAAAUAACUAGGCCUAACCGGGAGACUUAUAUGAACAAAAUACUAAUAUAUUGAUUUAUGAAUACUAGCAUACACACCUUACUCUUGCUCACACCUUGUUCUCCACCUUCUUCACCUUCUUGUUCUCUGCUACUAGGCAUGAGGCAAGGGCCUCUAUUUAUAGGGCUACAUGGGCAUUGGAUCUUUGACAUGUGUCAAGAUCAUAGCCAUUGAUACAAGUAUCUAAAACCUUCCACACACUUCUACCUAAAUAUCUAGCUACUAGAAGGUUCCCUCUUUUUAAUUUAUUGAUCUCCUAUUCUAGAGUAUUCCAAAACUUGUAAACAAAUCCUCAUACAUAUCUAAAUACUAGAAGGUUCCUACUUUUAUUUAUUUCACAUUCUAGAGUAUUCCAUAGUAAUGUCUUCUUUCUUGUAAUAUUGAGAACACUCUAGAAGUUUGCAUUGUAUUCUCCAACAAAUAGUAUAGACUAGGCCUCAUUAGCCAGUAAUCAUAAAGUCUAAUUAACCAGAUCCAAACAACAAUAUUUAGCUAGUAAUCAGAAAGUCUAAUUAACCAGAUCCAUGCAAAAGAUGUUUUCUCUUGCUAAAUCAAAGCUUCUAGCCUACGGUAAUGUACGUCUGGCCGGGCGUGUGCAACGAAGAAAUACACCAAAUUUGAUUGCCUAGCUUGUUCCCACGUGAGAAAAAAAUGAGCUGGAAGUAGAUGUUUUAUUUCCUGCGAAUCCAUGGGGCAGGAACAGUGUUUUAUAGAAAUUCUAUUUUCCUAUGCUUUGUUCCAAACGGUCCAAAGGAACCCAUUCACGUGGAAUCUAUUUACAGUGAAAAUCCUACGCAAAACCUUUGUUCCAAACGACCCUGAGUUUCAGACGCUGUUGGGGCUCAGGCCCACCCAGCUCCAUACUCUGAGUGGAAUGGCUGGUCCAGUGGGCCUCCAGUUCUAGUCAGCAAAGCAAAUUUCUGACGCUAGGAAAGAAUUCGGAUAGAGAAAAUACAGAGGAGACAGACAAUGCAGGCAGAAGAUGACAAAAUUGUUCGUAUCAAUGUAUUGUUGGAUUUUAGCUUCACGGGAUCUGUGCCUGUACACCUGUCUUCUGCCGUGAUCGGCUGAAACGCUUGCGUCGCGUGCAGUAUGAGCUCGUCAGUAGUAACAGCUCGUGCGAUUUACCUGCAGUCUGCAGAAUACUAUAGUUCGCCGCAUCUCAUCCAUGGCAUGGCAGUAUCACUGAUCGAAAUCGCAACAUCAAACUGAAAAUUAACCACACAAAUAGACACACAGAGAGCUCAAAUCACACAUUCGAUUAUUUCUUCUCCAUCGAUGGAUCUGUCUAAUGCCGCGCACGGCAAGUUCUCAUGUGUACCCUCCCCCUGCUCUGCUACAACGACAGAACGAUGAGCACGUCCAGGGUGGUCAGGGCUUGGGCGUCAUCGUUCACCUUGAGCAGCAGCGAGCCCUCCUUCUCCGCCGCGGCCGCAGCGCCGCCCCCAAUUUUGCCGAACGCGCCCUGGCAGUCCACGGGGGCCUUCCUGACGACGCCCAUGUCGGCCACGUAGGCCUGCUUCUGCCCCGUGGCCAGCGCGUGGAUGGCGCUGUGCACCACGUUCUGCGCCUCGAGGUACCGCUGCCGGCACGUGGCCAGCGCCGCCUGCGCGGGCUCCGGCCAUCCCCCGCGCCGCUGCAGGUCCUUGAUCGUGGCCACGGCCUCCGUGUAGUUGGCCAGCGUCAGGUUCGUGGCGAUCACGGCCAGCCCGUGCGCGUCCGCGGUGGCGCUCCCGGGCGCCGCCUGGAGCGUCGUCACGCAGAAGGAUUCCAGGUCCUUGUGCUUCGCCGUGGCGCUCGCGCACGUCUCCUCCACGGAGGCGGUCGCCGCGUGGAAGCCGCCGACCAGGAGGACGAGGAGGAGGGAGAACGGAACCCGCUUUGCCAUUUUCGUGCGCUCUAAUUCGCUUCGAUCUCUUUGAUGGCUUGUGUUGUCUACUUGUAUGGAGUACCGAUGAAGCAAACCUUGGUUUUUGGUGCGUUUAUUAUGCAGAUGUUGUGGGCAAAGGGAAUAAAUAAUGGGAGGGUGAUCUAGCUUGUGCGGGUGGAUAUACAUUGAUUACUUAUAAAUGGUUCUUUUAAUGGUGGGGCAUUUAAGGGCCAAUAGCAUGACGACGGAUUCAUCAUGUUUUAUCAACAUUUCUCGUAACAUAACUGGUCAUUAAUGUACCCUAACUUGUGUCAUUUUCUCUAUGCAUUUUUAGUUUGAGAAAAGUAUAUACUCUAACUUGUAGAAAAAUACACAAAUGACUCUUUUUUUUCGGUCUAAUUCUCGUCUCGAACUAUCAAAAAGCGAAUACCAAGGCCAAUGAUUCCCCACCUCAUGCGACGGAGUAAUAGUACCAUCGUGUCAUGGUUUUGUUCUCGAAAAUUGUGACAUUGUCUCGGAUAUUUAUUUUUGGAAGAAACAAACCGACUCAUAGGCUAAAUAUUGGAAUGAUGACAAGUUGCCAGGCUAGCACGAUAAUUCCAAAACCAAAACCAUGACAUCUCGGAUGAUACCGUUUCAGAAGGACUAAAGGAGUGAGAGACUAUUUGUGUCUGGUUUCAACGGUUGAGGAUAAAGGUAUACCAACAAAAAAAAAUAAGGAACCAUUUAUGUAGUUUUUGAUAAGUUGGGAAUAAAAUAUGUAUGUUUUCUCUUUUAUAAAUAAAAUAAACGAGAAUGAUAACUUAUUAGUUGGCACCCCUCUCAUAUUUUUUAUGGAACUAAUUGUUAAAUUUAUUUAAUCCUUUUGUGGUCUCUUUGCAGCUCCACCUCGCAUCAUCCAAUAGAAAGACAAUAUUUGAAGUUAUUGUUGGUAUGGCGAUGGAUUCUCAUUAUCCUGUGUACCCCACCAUGAUUUUUUUGCCAUUUGAAUUAUUUGGUUAACCAACUAUUUUUUCUAGUUUUGUGUGUACGAUUUCACAAUAUAUCUUGAAAUAAUUUAGCACAACACGGUUCUGCAACUUCAAACCUGGUCAGAGAAUAUGUAGAAAAAUAAGUUCGACUGAGUAUAGAACAACCAAUUAGACAUUGAGAGUCUAAAUAUACAUACACUUUUAGGAAACUUAUAUGUACAACUUUAACACAUACAAAAUGCUGACUCCGUAAUUGGUUGUGACACACCGGCCUACGGCUUAAUAUGAUUGAUAGAAUACUCAUAUCAACAAGGUAUACCUUCUUUUUUGGGAGCCCAUCCGAAACGAACGUCAAAAUUAAGCGUGCUUGGUUGAGACCAAUUUGAGGAAGUUUCUCCCGGAAGCGCAGUGAGAACAAAAUACGCUGGAAAGACAUGUGUUGGUCCGUGGGACCAUUCUUGAAGCCUAGAGAGCUGCCACGUGACGCUGGGGCGUUACAUUGGUAAACAUAGAUUAUUACAAACCGGCAACAUAAUAUUCACAGGAAAGCUGAAUGCGGGGGAAGAGGAUCGAGAGUCGAGACUGUGAGGACAUCUAGAUUUGCAGAAUCGUUCUUGGCUCUCCAUGUCACUUAGAGUUGACCGUAAAAUAAUGCAUACACAAAGAGUUUAUUUAAGCCGAUUCUAAAUGAUUUGUUAGUGUUGCAUGUUAUUGUGUACAAUGGUAAAAAUAUUGAAUCUUAAUUAACUCUCAUGCGACUUCUUGACUAAAAGUAUGACUCCUCGCUUCUUUCUUGUAUUUAAUCUCAGCAAAAUUUAAGUCAAUUCAUGUCAUGUCAUGUUUUUCGGGGGAAAAAAAGGAGUCAUGCCCUUGCGCUUCGUGCUGGAGAAGAUAAGAAACGACUGGGCCUAGAUUUUUCUACCCGUUUUCUUCUCUCCGGUAGGAAAACCUGGGCCACAGAUUGGCAACAGAAUCCUCGAAACCGAGAAGCUCCCCUUCGCUGCCCACGGCCCAAGUCACUUCGAAUCCAUCACCACCAUUCACCGCUGUUCUACAUCAAAGGAGCAAGAUGGCGAGCCCAACGGUGGCCACCCCGAUCCAGCUCCAGACCGGCCGCCUCAGCCUCAGCUACAGUCCCACGAGAGGGCGGUUCGCGGCGGCGAGGGUUAGGGCGUCGGCGGAGGCGAUGGCCACCGAGAAGCUAGGCGUCAGGGUGGAGACCAACCCGCCCGAGUCCCGCCUCUCCGAGCUCGGCGUCCGCCAGUGGCCCAAGUAAGCCCCGGUCUUUCUCUCCGCGGCCGCGGGGCAUCGAAUUGAUGGUGAAUUGGUGAUGCGAUGUCGGCUGCACCUGCAGGUGGGGGUGCGAGCAGAGCAAGUUCCCGUGGACGUACUCGGCCAAGGAGACGUGCUACCUGCUGCAGGGGAAGGUGAAGGUGUACCCGGACGGCGAGGAUGGGUUCGUAGAGAUCGCGGCGGGGGACCUGGUGGUGUUCCCCAAGGGCAUGAGCUGCACCUGGGACGUCGAGGAGGCGGUCGACAAGCACUACAAGUUCGAGUAGCGCCCUACCCCCACACCCGGCGCUGCACACUCCUAGAUUGGGAUAUUCUGGCAGAUUGCAGUGCUUGGAUGAAUGGUUCGUAUCUUGUAGCUGAACCUGCUCCGUUGUUAUUAAGCUCGACUGAGUCUUUUGCAGUGGAAUAAAACGCCAGAUUUAGUGGAUUGUUGCCGUGAUGCCUCCUCUCACUCCCGUGUGUUUCCUGUUCGUAACUGCCGGUCUCCAGGUAUAUUACUGGCUUAGCAUUCUUUCCUUUUGAGGGAAGAGAUGGCUUUAUUACAUAAUCAUCUCCAAACUGUUGCACUCGUUGAGCCUGGCAAAACUAGCAAGACCAUGCGCUGAAGUAUAUUGUAUUGAACGCUCUCGUCGCCUCACAUUAGUUUUGAUAAGCCAGAGGUAUAGUUUUGAUUUCUCUGUGGAUGAAACUACAUCACAAUCUUGCCAUACUGGAGUUGUUUGCUUUGUUUCAGUCCCUUCUUGGCCAUUCAACAGUAGCGUACAGCCUUUGGAAACUUCCUAGAGGGGACUCCCGCUUGACUCCCACUUGUGAUCUUCUUCCUUGGGUCGGAGAGAGAGCCCCACUUACCAAUUGGGCAUGGAAAUGCCACGUGAAUUGAACCAAACUACGCAAACUGUGGUCACCAUCAGACUUGAUCGCAGAAUGAACAAUGGAUAUUAGUCAGUUUCCAGAGCCACCGUUAUUGAGUAACUUCGAUGAAAGAUCCACCCACAAUGAUCUUGAUCCAUCCCUGGGGUGGCCUUUUCCAGGACUCAAGGUACUUGCCGUCCUGAUAUUUCUGAACCUCGGCCUCUGCGUACAUCACAGAUUUUACAUUUCCUGUUAGGAGUUACUCCCUCUGAUUCUAAAUUCUUGACUCAAAUUUGUCCAAAUAUGGAUGUAUCUAUUCUUAAAAAACGUCCAGAUACAUGUAAUAUUUCGACAAUAAUUUAGGAUCGGAGGGAGUAUUCAUCUAGUUGCUCACAAAUUGGGUGAUAGCUUUCCAAAAACAUCAGAAGAAAGGGAUUUCAGAUAUAUUUAUUUUUUCACAUUGGGUGAUGUAUCAUUUCUAGACAAUAGCAGGAUGCAGGGUCAAGCUUUAGGACUUGAGCAUUUAAGUCAGCAGCGUGAUAGGAGUCCAAUGAAGUCCUGUGUAGCUGAAGUCUUUUUCUGUCGCAGCACUCAGAUCUCUCUCCAUUCAGUCCUGAGGGCUUUUGCUAUUGUUCAUCUCAACAACGUGAUAGAAGUCUUCCGGUUGAGAGUUAGGACGCUGCAUAUCUUUGUCGCAAAAGAUUGAACGGGCAAGUUUUUCGGGCAAGGGAGGGUAUUUUCAGCUAAAUAGGUUGCAGUCAUAAACUAAGCUGACAUGUAUUCCAAACGUUUUACCUUAACUCUGGAGGGGUGGGGAGCGUUACCUGAUAUCCCUAUCAUUUGAUACUCCGUAUUUGAAUUGGCAAUACUUGAAAACUUGGUUUGUUUUUCUCUAUCGAGUAAAUUCCACUUUGUAGUCCAAAAAUAGCACUUUAAUAGAGGGUAUACAAAAUUAUCAGUAAUGUUAAGAAAUAAGAAACAGUGUGAAGCAUGUAACUCGUUUUAAUGCGUCCAAUGGCCGGACGCACGGGCUGGCUGGUUGGUUGGUGUAGCGUGGUGUGCAUUGUGGCCAGGAAGUUGGUCAGGUUAGCCAAGCGAGGAGUUGCUGAUUAACAUCCAGACGAAGCUGGGGAUCCUCCCGGGCAAGCAUGGUCACCGCGCGGCCAUGCUCAGCAUCGCUUGGAGUAGCAGGACAACCGACGAUGGCCACCGAGGAGCCAGCCAUGUACCAGACAGAGGAUCCAGGUCCAACCGCCGGGGGACAAUCAUCUACACUGGAAUUCAUAUUCGGAUCUGACAUUCUAAUGUAGACCCAUUUUUUUUUUAAAGGUUCAGCAACAGCUGGCUUUCCAUAUAUUAGCAGGUAGAGAGAUUUACAAGAACUCCAGUAGGCAGAAAAGAGAAAAAAAAAGAAAGGAGAAAAGAAGAAGGGAGGCCUGGAAAGAAAAACAAGGAGGCUCCCACAUGAGCUUUCUGAGAGCAAACGCCCACGCUUGGGUUUCGUUUUUGAUGAAGCAGGAGAGCUGGCCGACUGGAAGAGCCUUGUCUUGGAAAAUCUGGGAGUUACGCUCACGCCAAACGGAAUGACAAACUAGAAUGAAUAGGGAGCUGAUUCCCUUCCUAUGCUCAGGGGGACACACCUCCAAAAGGUGCUCGCGGAAGGAAUUGAUGGAGGCCGCCUCGCGGAUGGCCACGGUGAUGCUGCCGCAGUUGUUCCAGAGGGCCAGGAGCACCAGAGCUGGCUGGAGAAGGGGCACUCGACGAAGAGAUGCAGGGAAGUCUCGAGGUUGCGACGGCACAAAGGGCAGAAGUAGCAAUUGGGCCAUCCUCGGCGUUGCAGCCUGUCGGCGCACCACAGGCAAUCAUGAAGCAUGAUCCAGGCAAAGAACUUGGAGUUCGGCGGGGCCCAAACGCGCCAGACGGCCUGCGGCAUAGGAGAGGACAGCCGGCCUAAAAAGUGCAGCAUGUAAGCAGACCGGGUCGAGUAGGAGCCGUCGGAGGUCAUCGUCCAGAUGAUGGAGUCGGGGAUCCCAGGGCGCCCAGAGAUUGUAGCCAUCACGCUCCAGGCAUGGAUGAACUCAUGAAGGAUCGGUUGGGAGAGGCAAUGGCGCACGUCGCGGGUCCAGCGAUGCUCGGUAAUGGCGUCGGCAACUGUGCGAUUCUUGCGAUGGGAGUGGGCAAACAACAGAGGGAAGAUGGCACGAGGCGCACGGCCGUCGAGCCAGCUAGAGUUCCAGAAGCUCGCCGUCUUGCUGUCGCCGAUGGUGACGCGGGUAGCCGCCGCAAAGAGGUCGCGGUCUAUGUCGUCGCAGGGGGUGGGCGUGCCGACCCAUGGUCUGUCGGGCGUGCGCCACUCAAACCAGAGCCAACGAACCCUCAGCGCAUGCCCGAAGGCGUCCAAGUUUGCCAGGCCGAGCCCGCCAUGCUCUAGCGAAGAGCAGACCUUGGUCCAACUAAUCUUGCACUUGCCGCCGAUCUUGUCGUUGUCGCCGAUGCCCCGGAGAAAGCGACGUCUGAUCUUGUUGAAGGAGGCGAGGAAGGACUUGGGGAGCUUGAGCGCAGUCAUGGCGAAGGUGGGAAGGGCGCCGAGCACGGAGUUGAUCCAUUUUCCCCGCCAGCCAGCAAGCUGCGCCCGGGCACGAUCAAGGAUGUGCUACAAGUGAACGGCCUUGAUCCGCCCGAGGGAAAGGGGGAGGCCGAGAUAGCGAAGCGGAAAGGCCUCCUGCGUGCCGGCGAAGGGGAGGAGAACAUCGUCGAGGUCGAGGCCGUUGCAGCAGAUGGGAGCCACAGUGCACUUGCCGGGGUUGAUUCUCAGGCCGGUGGCGAGGCCGAAGUCAUCGAGCAAACGAAGCAGAAAUUGCAUGUUCGGCCGCAGUGGGUUUAGGAAAAUGAUUGCAUCGUCGGCGUAGAGGCUGGCGCAUGUUGGCCUCACGAAGAGGCAAGGGGGAGAGGCCGCCGAGCUCCGUAGCCCGGAGGAGGAGGCGUUGCAGCGGGUCGAUGACAAGGAUGAAAAACAGCGGCGACAGGGGGUGUCCCCCUGCUGAAGACCGCGUCAGUGAAGGAUGACGUCGCCGGCCGAUCCGUUGACCAACACAGAGGAGGUCACAGUAGAGAGGAGGAGCGCAAUCCAGUCACGCCAUCGAGCCGGGAAGCUGAGACGCAGGAGGAGCUCGAGCAGGUAUUCCCAGGAGACGGAGUCGCAAGCUUUGGCAAAAUUGAGCUUCAUCAGCAAGGCGGGCUUCUUUUUGCAGUGGAGAGCGCGGGCGACGUUUUGGACGAACAAGAAAUUAUCGUGGAUGCAUCGGGACUUGAGGAAGGCGCUCUGAACGGGCGAGAUGAGGUCUCCCAUGAGCGGCGUGAGACGGCAAGCUAGAACCUUGGAGAAGAGCUUAGCGAAGGAAUGAAUGAGACUAAUAGGACGCAGAUCGUGUUCGGUGUUGAGAGCAGCUUUCUUCGGGAGCAAGAAAAUAAAGGCCGAGGGCUGAAAAGCGAGGUGGUAGAAGGCGGCAAGGAUGUCGAGCUUGAUGAUGGACCAACAGAAGCGAUAGAAGAGGCCCGUGAGGACAUAUUUUUAUCGGUUUUGCAGUUUCUCAUAUUUUAUUCAGACCCGUUGUUUGGAAUUUCCAUUUAAAAAUGGUCAAGUUCAUGCAUGUUUUGUCAUAAAAUGUGAAAAAUGAACGCGGCGAGGGUGAGGACCCUCCACACUUCCACAGCCCAGCGCCCCAAGCCCCAUGGAAAUGUUCAUGUCUGCAGAUGCCUCACCUUGCUCGUUCAAUUUGCAGCACAAGUAUGAAUUAGUAUUAUUUUUGGAAGAUGCACACGUUUAAUACACGAACCAGCUUCUUAUUUUCCUCAGUGAACUUCUCUUACAUGCUGACAGGUAAUCGAGUACAUCUGUAGAUUGCACAUCGCAUUUUGUUUUUUUAACACACUACGUAGUUGGCGAAACUGACAAGUGUACAUAUCGGCAACAACAGCACUGGCACUCGGCUCAAAAGGAAAAAAAAAAGGAAACAAAAGCUGGCACUCCACGCAGUUCAGGCUUCAGACAUGAGAAUUCAGAGCUCGACUCUGUUGGCCUGCCGCUCUUCACCGCCAAUACUCUUCUUGUCGGAAGAGCCAUCAUCUCCCCCAGUGAUGCCGACCACGCGCGGGCCCUUGAUCUGGUCGGGCGCCAGCUUCCGGAACCGCACAGUAAGCACACCGUUCUCGAGGCUGGCGGCGAUGGAGUCAAGGUCGGCGUUGUCGGGGAGCCGCAUCUGGCGCCAGAACUUGCCGUAGGAGCGUUCCUCCCGGUGCCAGUGGUCGCCCUUCC